rnacentral:lncRNA from 1 species
CAAAAGAAUAGGAAACACAUGAAAGAUUUUUUUUUUAAUUAUUUUAGCCAUUGGACUUAAGUUUUGGACCGUUAGAUGUUUUUUUUUCCCUUUGGGUUUGAUCAUAUUAAAUCUUAACCGUUAAAUUCAAUAAAUUUAUAAAUAUAAAAUUAAAAAAGAAUACACAUAUAUGGUGGGGCCAGCCUACUAACUCAGGGGAAAUCCUGAUCUAAAUUUGCCUCAGAAAUAAGUAUUGGGUUAAAACUUAUAUUUGGUUCAAGAGUUGGAGCAAGUUGAGAUGAGUUUAAAAUCUAAAAUUUGAAUUUUACUUCAAGAAUUGGAAUAGGUCUAAGGACAGUAAAAAAAAUGAAAAAACACCACAAUGAAAAAAGCAAAAACAAAAAACAAAAAACGUGGAAGUCAAUAAGUAUAAAAAUGGGUGUAAAAAGAAAGAAAAAGAAGGUCCCACCGAGAUUUGAACUCGGGUUACUGGAUUCAGAGUCCAAUGUCCUGACCACUAGACCAUGGGACCGUUCUUGUCAAACCAACAUUACCGUUCAAUUUAUCGUCAAUCUUUAAUAAAGCCAUAUAAAGAAAAACAUAAUUAAAUUACAUUUCUAUUACCUGGGUUUUGUAUUAAACAUUUAUAAUUUAUGAUGACAGCCUAAUAGUUUAAAUUUAAUUGGGAAAUUUGAGAUUAAAUACUAAAAACACCAAACGAUUUUUUUUUUUUUAACUCUACUCGUCUUCAUCCCUCAUUUUCGCUCAAUUUUUUUGUUUGGAAUGGUUGUAUUUUCUCUCCGUUUUUUAUCUCCAUCGUUAACAAAAAAACAAAAACUUAAAAAUAAAAAUAAAAACAAAACAAAAUAGUUACCAAACAGGCUCCAAAAUUUUUAUAAUCUCUACUAAUUAAUAAAACACUCAUUGUCAACUAAAAUCCUAUGAAAUUACCAAUUUAACCCUCUAAUUAAAACAGAACAUGAAUAAGAAAUAUAGGGUAGAAAUGUAAUUUCACACAACCAAAUUUUACUUUUUUUUUAAAGCCUCACCUACGUGUAAUCCUAUCAUAUCUCUAAUUAAAAAAAUAAAAUAAUAAUAAUAAUAAUAAUAAAAUAAAAAAAUAUUCCCACUCCCACAUUCCCUAUCACUCUCUUCCUCUCUCCUUCUAUUUCGAAAACAAAAAUAAAAAAAUUUCUCACACACUUUAUGUGUGCCCAUAUGCUAUUAUUAAACUAAAGUAAUGAGCUAAACUCAAGUCGCGCCAAUGUACCAAAAAGUCUAGUACAUGUUUUUUGCUUCAAGUAAAUAUGACAAGGAUAUACAAUUUUUUGAGCAGGCUGUGGCUGAUAACAUGGCACUUGGGGCUUUUCAUCACCCUGACCUUUGGGCAGAUUGGAUUCAAGGGGAGGACUGAAGAUUACUUUGAUAAAUGAUCCUUUUAAUUAGGUUAUCUAAAAUUUAUAUAUAUGCUUAAUGUUCAAUUAUCUCAAUUUCUUUUCCCUUCUUUCUCCUGUUGUAACUCCACAACUUGAUCCUCCUUAAUCAAUAUUGUGUACCUUUGUGUAAAUAAAUAUGUAUUCAAGUCAGGUUACUGCUACUUAGUAUUAUAAUUUAGUGAUAUUCCUCUUUACUUGUAAGUGUAAGAUCUUAAGUUUGAUUCUUAUCAAAUGCAAAUUUGAAUCACAUUAUUGCUAGCCCAUAGUGAGGCUAAGCCCAACCCCCUCCCUCUUAAUAUAAAUAAUAUCGUUUGUUCAAAAAAGAAAUAGUCAAGUUACUUACAGUAAACACAAUGACCAAAAAUAUGUGGAGUACUAGAAACAAGUAAUGCUUAUGACUGCAAACCAAAUGCAAAUUAGGCUUUCAACAAUACAUUAGAUGUAUCGAUGUUUGUUCAACUGGAUUAAAACAACCAUAACCUAGUCAUGUAAAUAUAGUCAUCUGAUGUAUGAGUGCAUUUAUACAUCGGAACAUUAUAGAAUACUAAAUAGCUGGCACACGCGAUGCAAGUGCAAAAACCCUUUGUGGCCUUAAUGUGGAAGUUUUCUAGCCACCGCUGCCACCUCCUACCUAUCUCUACCAAAUCUACAACACCUGAUAUUCUCGAUGCUAUGCCAAUUUUUAAUUUUAAAACCCUAAUAGCUUAAAACAGAUAAAAAACUGCAAUACCACCAUUCACCCCUCACCUCUGUCAAAUGGUGCCCUAUGAAACACAACUAAGUGGUGGCCCCAUCCAACAUCUCACAUGCCCCUCUUCAGAUCUCAAAAUCAGUCAACACAUCCGUCCACCACCUACCUGAUGCACUCUUUGCGGCCUAAGAGCAACUCCACCCUUGGUGGUUGCUCGGGAGAUAGGUGAAGGGAAAGGGCCUGAGGGCUGGUGGAUAGGCCUCCAACGUUGGGCAGCCCGACUGAAGGUGGGAGCCCGAGGGCCAAGCCCGUGGAGAAUUGACAGCCCUGCAACCCGAGGUGUGUGUGACGUCAACCUAACGCCAGGCCUGGCGUCGGUGCUUUUUUUAUUUUUUUUGUGUCAGGCGCAUGCCCCUCACUCGCAUGUGUGAUAAGUUCACCAAUUCACAAAGGAAAAUACUAGGAAGAUUAUAUUUUCAUACCAUACAUGUGCCAAGUGAUGUGUUCAUGAUGUUGGACAAUUAUCAAUCAAUGAUAAAUUAUAUAUAUGUUAACAAAUAAUAAAUGCAAAUCAAUAAUUUAGCAGAGUAUGAACAAAACAAAAUUAAUAUUAAAUAUAUAAACUGAAGAUCGAGGCUUGUGUACUACAAUGUCCUAAAAACAUAAUUUUGUCCUACUAUGUGCUUGUAAUUUGAUAGGCGUCUGCUUCAUCAAGAUUUAACGAUCUAAGUCAAAAUUCCAACACCAUAAAACUAGACUUCUGGCAAAUACCUUUGUGGUAUUCUCAGUAUGUUUUGUAUGUAAGGAUAUGAUUUUCAGUAAAUUGAAUGAUAUGCAGAUGCAUGUAUUUAUAAUAAUCAUAUGCAUGUUUGCAACAUGCAUGUUUUUGGGAGGCAACUGUUCAACACAAAGGGCGUGUGGCUCCAUCUUUUCCUCAGACUUUUUCAUACAUUCUCAAAAGAUUGAAAAAUAAAAAGAUUAAUUAAAUUCGAAAUUAAUUUAAUAAAUUAAAAAAAAGCUAAUUAUUGAAUUUAAUUAUUAGAACUCAUCUUUUGAUAAUUAAUUAGAUAUUAAAUAUAUAAUUAUUAUUAAAUAAUUAUCACACCCCAAAGCCCAAAUCCAAGGUUGAGCACAAUUUUGCUCUCAAUGGUUUAUCACUCCAAUCAUUUUAUAAGAGGUACAAAGUCUUAUAAAGUGAAGGAAUCUUUUGGUGGUGACUAAUGUGAGACAAUGAGUUAGAAUGAUAUCUCUACUCAAAAACUCCAACACACGUCAAUUAAUGAGUUUUCUGAUUGGAUGUUGAUUAUACUAAUCACUUGCCACAUCAUAUAGUAUACUAAUGUGAUCUUCCUAGCAUUAUUCAUUCACAAAUAGGUUUCUAUUUUGAUGUACAAGGUUUAUAGACGAACUAAACAAUUUGUACAAGUUUUAGAUGAAACAAUUAAUUGCCAUGAAGAGUCGGGAAAGAAGGUGUUCGUGGCUAGAAUUUCCGUUGAGGAUGUUUCCUAGCGGACGAGCACACAGCUCCCCGAGAGGUUGGCGCCAAUUGAUGCUUUCUGUCUAGCUUCUGCUCACUGGCGGGCUUGUCGGGCAAAUCUUGUCGAGCAAGGCUUGUCGGGCAAAGCUGAAAGAGAAUGACAUGGUUAACUUUGAAAGGUGCCAUUGUAGGGCCUUAGGUGUAGGCCUUGAGGCUCACAAUCAAGAUUAACUUUUAGGUGUUCAGGCGUGCCACUGCCAUCUUUAGCAUAGUAGAUGUAAAACAGAUGUUGAGUUUUAAUUGUAUAUAUACCUGAGAGGCUGUUUUAGUUAUGAAAGGUGCCUUUGUGGGGCCUCAGGUGUAGGCCUUGAUGCUCUCAAUCAAUAACUAACCCAGUACUCGAACAUAUAAUGUUUGUUUCAUUAAUUGCAGAAGUGUUAUGACUAUUAUACUUCUAAUUACCCAAGCCCAAAGAGCAGAAUGAAUCCAAAUAGGUGCCUUUGUAGGGCCUUAGGUGUAGGCCUUGAAGCUUCCCAUCAGAAUUACUUCUAUACUCAAACGUUCUACAAUAAUCAUAAUAUAACAAAAAUAAAACUAAGAAAUAGGUCGAUUACUUGCGCCCCAAGUAACUUCGGACUUCUUGUUAUCAAAGGUUGUCGUGGAUGGGUUAAGUCCACAUAAGGUUCUUUUUUAUGCCUUGAGACCAAGGACUUUUGAAUGAUCAAUCUUACAUGCCCGAGGGUUUAGAACUUAGAUCUGAUUUAAACUGUGACUACAUAUUCCAAUCGGAUUCAAGCACUGAGGAGUCUUUUAAUCAUCAACUUGCUAGAACUAACUUGGAUACAAAUGGAAGUAUACAACAUAUUACUAGACUUAUGAAUGAAAAGACAAAAACAAAGAGGGUCGGGCAAGGUUUCACCUUGUCGGGCAAGACUGGUCGUCUUGCAACUUCCUAUCUUUGUGAUUUAUAGAGGGGCUUGAGAGCUUAGAAAGAGGGAUAGGGAGAUGAGUUUACAGAAGGAAAUCGAUACUACAGUAAGAUUUAGACAAGGUAACAGAGCUUUUACAAAGGCUUUUGGUGAGGGUUGAUCCCGAAAGGGAUGAAGGCUUGGGCUGACUACAGCUUCAUUGAAAGCAAAUCUGGCUUGAGCAGAGUUUGUGCUUGUAUUUGUUUGGCUGUUUGAGUGUCCUCAUCUCUGAUUUCUCUUUCUUCUUUUAUAGACAGUUUGGCUUGGCCUCCUGUAGCUUUAAUCUUGCCCGAAUGCAGCUUGAAGGGCAAUGACUCAUCAGUUUUUUACUUAUACUGCCACUGUAAAGUGCUUUUGGGCUAAUUAGCUGGCUGGUCUACACCACUUAGUCUCUAGGUAGGUGAACAAGUGGUUCAAAUGAUCUGCACCUAGUCGGGAAAAUGCCUUUUCUACCUUCUGGGUUUUUGCUGGGCUUCGGGCUCCUUUCCUCCUAGUCCUUCUUUUGGGCCGACUCCCUUUUUAGCUCAAAGUUCAAGUUUUAACCCAAACAAAAGGAACGUAUAAUUAAGUGGUUACAUGCUGUGGGUAGGUUUAUUGUUGAAUUUUGGAGACUUUAGGUUCCUCUGUGAUAGAAGAUGAAGUCUUGACUAUCACGGAGAUAUGUCUCCAUGUUCCCUUACGGAAGCUUGGGUAAGAAGAGAUUUUCAAGUUGUACGAAUAUUUGAGACCAGGUUAUUAAGAAGUGGAUUACAAAAUGUUAGCUGGAGGAUAUUAGAAAUGCGAAAAAUGCCUUCUAGGUUAUGUUUGGGUGAGUGAUUUAAAAAAUUCAGGGGAUUGAGGGAAGGAAAUUUUGUGAAAAACAUGUUCAUUUAAGCAACAUCUAUAGCAUGCAAUUAACAAAUUAAAGGCGGAAUCAUGCUUGCAUGCACUCAAAACAAAACAUUACCCAUAAAAUUCAAAGCCUAGUAGUUAGGUGAACCAAGACUCAACUCAAAAGAAAGUGAGUUGAGAAAUUUAUACCUUUGUAGAUUCCUCUUUGCAAAAGCAAAGGAUAAUCACCCAAGAGAUAGGGCCUUCAUUCCUUGCUUCUUAGAUCCAUGGAUUUGGAUGGAAGAAUAGGUUUCUCCAAGUUCCCAAAAUUGAGAACCUCUAAGUCUCCACACCAAGGUAAGAUGUGAAGAAGAGAUGAGUGACCUUGGAGGAGAAAGAUUACUAGCUAAUCCCUCCAAGGGUGUGUUGGAAAUAUGCCCUGAAAGUCAAUCUUUGGAAGAAACCUUUCAGGACAAAUGAAUCGAUGUAUAGAUGACUCUUAUACAUCAAAUGACAAAGAUACUAAUUAGGACUAUCUCAAUAAACGAUAUAUGUCCUAAAUAGUGAAUCCAUGGACAAUGGAUCGAUUGAAGAAGUAAUCUAAUGAUGUUAGACUACAGAGACCUUCUUCACAUAACCAUUAUGUCCAAAAAGGUUCCUGGUCAUUGGAUUAUUGGAGGGAAACUGACAAUGCUUAGACCGGUACAUACUGUGUUCGCUUCAAAUGGAAGAAUGGAAAGUCUCAUCCCAUUCGUGUAGUGACACUAAGACAAGUAUGUAGGUGCUCAUUAAGGGAAUGAGUUCACUGAACAAAAUCGAAUGAGAGUACUUGCAUGGAGGUCUACUCACAUGUCAAGCAAGUAACUCUAAUGGUUGGAAUAAUGUAAGUAGUCCUUUGACCUAAGGCAUCGUCGUUGUCUUGUGGCUAAGUACUUAAUCUUUGAUUAUGUCAAAGUCACCCCAUUCGUGGGUGUCCACGGCAUAAUUGGGGUUAAGCCACUUAGUCAUGAAGGCAAGUGAAUGCGCAACAAGGAAUCUCUAAUCCUCGAUAAGAGAGGAAGAAUACUCUAAGAUAUGAUUCGGGAAUCUUCGGCCGAAGUAUCGAGCGUAAUAAAGGAAAGCGUUCCUAUACGACUCAAUAGAAUCAUAUAAGAAGGAAUAAUCACAUUAGGGGUUUGACAUAAUAUAUCCAUACCCUAGUAAUGUGAUUGAGAGUAUUGUUUUAGAGAAUGAUCGAAUUACAUUGUAAUUCCAACUGAAUAGGUUCUCCGAACAACUUCUACAUUAGCUUGGGUAGCUAUGACAUAUGGUUAGAUGUCACUCAUAGCUUGUGAGUUCUUCUAGAUGAUUAAAUGUAGUCAUCAAAGAAGAAAGGUGAAUUAAAAGGAAGUUUUAAUUCACUAAGUGAUUGGAUUAAAUAUAAUCAAUUGGAUUGAUGUCAAUCACCUCACUGCCUUGCUAAUUAGAACCUAAAAUGAUUGUACACCGAUACACUCUUGUAGUGAGUAAUUAAUGGAUGAUGGAAAUAAUUAAUUGGAUUAAUUAAGUGUUGUGAUUAAUUUAGAAAGUCUAAAGAAAUCAUAAAAGCGAUAAAAGAUCGUUUUGGGCUUAAAGAAACGUUCGGGUUUAAUUGGGUCCAUUGGGCCUAAACCCAUUGGGCUUUUAUUCAAGCAUUGGAUGACUAGAAAUAAAUAAAAGCCCAAAGCCCAAACCAACACAAAGGGGCCGGCCAUUUAAAGUGGAGAGGGAGAGAUAUUAAGUCAAGUUGUUGACUAGGUUUCUUUUUGUCUAUAUAAGGAACUUUAUAGAGAUUUAUUCCUUAGGGUUUUUGUGUGUUUUAAAACAACAAAGAGGCAAAAGAAACAUCUCUCUAAAACACCAAAGGCCGGCCACCUUGAGGGUGAUUUAGCUAACAAUCUUUCACCCUUUUGGUUAUUCCUCCAUCCAUCUCACUACACUAGUGGGUGUGGAUAUUUAGAGGUCUUCUCCUUUGGAGAAUAAAGGAGAACCUUGGAGCACUCUUACUAACAAAGUGGAGGAGGCAAGGAGGGAGGCUAGGCUCAAGGACUUCAAGGAGCAAAGGGCUUGGAGGUGGUCCAUCCUUGGUCUAAAAUCAAGAUCAAGAGGUAUAGAUCUAUACCUUCACUUAGUUCUUAACUUGAAUGUUUUAGAUGCAUUAUAUAUAAACCUAUGAACCUUGAAAGGGAUUUUCAUGACUAUAGCUUUGAUAUUAUUUGAUAACAUGCUUCCGUUGCUUAUGUAUAUAAAUUUUGAAUUGUAUAUGCAUGCUAGUCAUUUCGAAAUCCCAUGUGUAAAACUCACAGAUUUCCCUUCAGGGUGGCCGGCCUCUUUAGAGAGAAAGGAGAGCUUUGUGUUCUCUCCAAUUUCCUCAAAAAACCCUAAAUGAAUUUUGGCUAUAAAGUCAUAUUUAUACCUUUAUUCAUUGGAGUGGCAAACUUGUAAUUAAAGCAAGUUCACUACCCUUCCUCUAAAUGGCCGGCCUUAGGGUAUUAUUGGGCUAUUUGGGCCUUUGUGAAUCAUUAUUCAUUAAGUUGUCAUACAACUUAAGUCAAUGGACUUGACAUUCAAAGCCCAUUGGGCCUUAAGGUCCAAUAUUAUCCCGAGGUCUUUAACGAACUUAUUCGUUUGAUUAAUUAACAUAUUAAUUCAUCCUUGCCAUAAAUAAUUAAACCAUUUAAUUAUUCUUACUCAUCUCCGUUGUUUCUUCAAUCUCUACCUUACACAGUGUACGAUCCAUUAGGUUCCUUUUAGCGAGGCAGUGGGCGAUUAAAACUCUUUCAAAUCGAUUGUGAAUUGAAACUUACUUUCAAUUCUCCCUUUAGUGUUCAUACACGUUUAGGGCUUCCACAAACCAUGAGUGAUACCUAGCAGCAUAUCAUGGUUACCCAAGCUAAUCAGAAGAGGUGGAGAACCUAUUCAGUUUAGGAUUACAAUGCAAUACGGUCUUUCUCUAAUACAAUACUCUUGACCACAUUGUUUGGUUUGAUAGUUUAUUCAUGUCUACUAUCCAAUGUGAUUCAUUUACUUAUAUGAUUAUCUUGAAUGUGAUUUGGAACGACCUCCUAAAUCUCAUUCAUACUCUGGCAAGAGAUUCUUAAUCAUAUCAUAGAGUAUUCUCCCUCAAACGGUUUGAAGGUUAGAGAUCCCUUGUUGCCCAUUCACUUGCCUCCAUGACUAAGUGGCUUAACCCCAACUAUGCCGUGGACACCCGCGAAUUGAGUGACUUUGACAUAAUCAAAGAUCAAUGACCUAACCACAAGACAACUAUGAUGCCUCAGGUCAAAUGACUAUUUUGCAUUAUCCCAACCAUGAGUUCUCAUGUGACAUGAGUAUGAGAACUCUUCGUUGAUCGUGUUCAGUGAACUCAUUCCUUAUUGAGCACCUACGUACUUGUCUUGGUGUCAGUCACACCAAUGACUCGAGACCAGUCACUCUCACUAAGAGAAGACAUAGCACAUACUGAUCUUAACGGACUGUCAAUGCCCAAUUGGCAAUCAUAUGAUUAGGAACGUUUAGGAUAUGUAUACGAAAGAGAAUGGUCUCAUGAAUCUAACUUCUUUAAAUUCAUUCUCCUAAUUACAUAUUCCUUGGACUCAUCGUUUAAGCAUAUAACAUUUAUAUGAGACGGCUUAAAACAAUAAUCUAUGCCCUUGAUAUUAAACUAGAUUAGUUUAACAUGUGAAAUGUCCGUAAAGUAUCAUCAUAUGAUUGGUUUUAGGGCACAUUCCCAACAUUGAGACCAAGUUAGUAAGGAAUGCUUUAUAAUAUAUUAGAUAAAGGUGAUUAGAAAUGUCCUUCAUGAGCAUUGCAAGGACAUGUACAAGGAUUUAUAUAUGUUUUCUUCCAAGUAGUGAUUUGCAAAUCUCUCUUAUAUGCCUUUGCUAUAACAUUAAAGGACGAAUUUAUGAUUCUCUACAUCCAACAUUUUUUAGCCUAUUCCUUACUAACUUGGGUUUGGUCCCUUGAGACUUGUGUGAAGUCUAGUUUUAGUUCUUUGGCUUUCCUUGUCAAAAGUUGUAAAUGAUACCACACAUACUCUUAGAUUGUCUUUUGUUUUAUAACUCUGGUAUGAGUUCAUGUUGUUGGACAUUGUGUCCAAAGGCAUUGGUCGAAGACAAUUCAUCAUCACAAAAGGUGAUCAUUCAUAUUCAUUCCAUGCAUAAACCUGAGUUCAUUUUUUCUAGUCAUGUUGUCUAGUCAGACAUUUGUCACUGUUGUCCAGCUAUUUGGACAUGUUUUUUGAGUCUACCUACAUAGGCUUUCUGACAGCUUGUCCCAGGUUGAAAUCUAAGCCUUAGAUUUGCUCAAAUCGUGCUCUGCAUUGACAAGUGUCUUUUGUCCUUGGUUGGACAGAAAAUUUGGUAGCCCCUAUGAUAAAACCCUAGCUGCCUUCCUUGCUUCUUUGGUGAGAACAUUUUACAUUCAUCAAAGAGAGAGUUUGAGCUUAUUGCUUCCUCAUUUAGUUGCCUAGCCACAAAACUGUUUUUAUGCAUUAAAACCCUAAGAUCAUUGUGUAUCUAGGUUGCAUUGGUUCACUUGUUUUGUGUUGUGUUCUUGAUCUAGCAUUUUGAGUUAAAUUUCUCAUAUAGAUCAAGUUUUGGAUUAUUUUCAAUUUCUUCCUUCAAAUGUUUGACUAGAGAAACUAACUGAUCUUUCAAUCUAGAUUUCAUAUCAUUUGCAUUGAUCAUGUUGGUUCUCGGUGCCACUUGGUGAUGAGCUCAGGAGGAGCUGCCACUUCGUGAAGACCGAAGGAGUCCAUCUCGUGUAAGGCAAUAUUGCACAAAGGUAUAAGUUGUUCCAUAGAUUAGGGAUCUAGGAAUUGAGCGUGUGUGGAUACUUUGUAUGAAUCUUGUUUACACUAAUGGAUUGGACUCAGUAGAGAGUCCCUAAUUUUUUAAUCCAGAUGUGAGGUUUUCCCGCCAAAAACAUCAUGUGUUGAUUAUUACUUUUCUUAGCUUUUAUAUCUCAAUAUCUGUAUAUGAGAUGCGAUCAUCAUGACCUGUCCAUACAACUAAGUUAAUCAAUGUUUGAAUCUACUGAACUGGAUCUUAAUUAACUAGGAACUUUUCAAUAACUCAAGUAUUGAAAUAGAUUGCUUCCGCUAUUGUUAAACUAACAUAUCUAAUCUUAGUUGACUGGUGUUGCUGACUAGUCAGACAAGCACAUACAUAGAUUUUUAAGUGCAAGUUAUUACGUUUGCUGUCAAUUUCAACUUGCAAAUCAUUCCCACCAACAUAGACUCUGAAUUGAACCCCUAGUUUAAUUGUAAUCCCUGAACUCUCAUAUUAGAUUCAUUAUUGUUACAUUUCACUAACGCCAUCUCUCUUGCCAUAAAUCCAAGGUUAUAUUAGGAACUUCAACUUAAAAUUAAAAAAAAUAAUAAAAAAGCUAAAAAAAACAGAUAAAAAUUUAUAAACUGAUAUCUAAAGCAUAAAAACAGAUGAAGAAAAUGAAAUUUGCAACGUUAAAAGGAAAAUUUGUUUAGCAAACUAACAAAUAACAAAUCAAUUUAAACAACUAAAAAAAAAAACUACAAAAAAAAAAAAAAAAAAAAAAAAAAAAAAAAAACCAAACACACAAAAAAAAUCUGAUUUUUUUAGGUUCUUUUGUCUCUCUCAUUUUUCAUUGUUAAAAUCAUUUUUAGUGAUGUGGGAUGAAGUUCGUAAUAUACUCCUAAGUUUAACGAAAAUAUAAACGGUGUCAGUAAAAAUGAUGAAUGAUACAACAUAAUGCUUGAUAACUAAAGAAACUAAUACGAGAGCUUAUUCGCUAAAAUUAAGAGAGGUUUAACGAAACACUUCUGAUAUUGUUCAUUUUUAACAAAAAUAAUAUUUUUACUCUAAAAAAUCACUCCUGGUACUAUUCACUUACAAUACUUUUUUAUCAUUUUGAUUAAAACUCAGCUCUUUUCAUUAAUUUUCUUUAAAAUUAAUUUUGGAUAAAAUUUAGAGAGUAUUAAUACAGUUAAACCUAUAAUUUAUUCCUGUUCACACACGGUCAGCCGACUCAUGGGAAUUAGAUUGGGGUUUCUCUCUGUCCAUGAAAUGUAUAAGUUUGUCGCCAUCUGGAUACCAUUUGUAAGCAGGAUGCUAUGCUAUUUCAUAUCUCUGCUGCAUAAUUUUGUGAAUACAGUGGAUGGAUCCGCCUGGUGAUCUGAUAAGAUUGCAAAGGUAAACCAUAUUUUAUUGAAAAUAAAAUUAAUGAAAAUGAUUUGAAAACUUUGAGUUUUAAUGAUAAAGACAAAAUAAAGGGUAAAAUGAAUAAUGCCACAUUUAUUUUUUAGUGUAAAAAUGUGGUUUUUCGUUAAAAUGAACAGUACCAGAAAUUUUUCGUUAAAAUUUCCUUUAUUGAAAGAGAACAAGUCACAAUCAUACAAACUGUGACUUCCUAACAAAUAUAUAUCCAUAGUUAGUUAAUGACCAUUAAAACAUAACAAACGUAUAACUGUAGCUAAGAAUAUCAAGAUUUCUAAUUUGGAUCAAGAUCAGGUCGGGGUCUUGCUCACAAUAGCAAUGGUCGGGUAAGGAUCUUGUUCACAAUCAUAGCAGUCAAAUCUAAUCAAGUCAAGAGAAAUUAAUCCACUUUAAUAUCGUUUUCGAAAAAAAAAAAAAUUUAAUGAAAAGCUUUUGAUACUGUUCAAUUGAACGAAAAAUCAUAUUUUUACAAUAAAAAGUCAAUCAUGGUACUAUUUACUUUACCCUUUAUUUUGUCAUUAUCGUUAAAACUUAAAGUUUUCAAGUCAUUUUCAUUAAUUUUCCUAACUAAAAAAUCCACUUUAAUAUCAUGUCAAGAUUACAGAGUCGGACUAGCGCCCAAUACGAAUCACAAUGACAUUGUCCCAACUUUGCACAAUCCAACAAGGUUCUUUGAAUUAAUUGGAUAAUACUACUAUCAAUCGCACAUGAACAACGAUUGGCUAAUGCUCUAAAUAGUUUGAAGAAAAUUCAGUUUUAACCAGAACCGGAAGAACCUUGACGUACUAACAAAUUCUUGAGGAAAAACAAUAAUAUAUUUCAAAAAUGUAAUCCAUUAGUUCAAAGAGACAUUGGUUCUCUUCAUCUCGUGCUCAGAAGCCAGAAGGAGCCCUUCCAAUUUCCAAGUAUUAUCCUAGUUCUAUGUGCACACAAUUUAACAAUUUCUUCAUUAUUUGAAGCACAUGAAAUGUUCCCUUAUGUUGUUGUAUUCUUCCUAAUCAGGAGUGCAUGCAGCUGUACAAGAAUACAAAUGGAGAAUGCGAAUAUCACAGUUUUAUUUUUUAAACAAUUGAUAAGUUGUUCAAAAAACAAUAAUAGUACAAUCAUUGUUCAUAUAUAUAACUCAACUUGUUAGAUAAAUUACCAACUAGCUUCUUAGUUUUAUUUUAUUUUUAGCUUUUCAGAAAACUAUCGAACAAUACUAUGAUCAGAAGAAAUCGUGUACACUUGUGAGUGAUUGACUGUAAUAUAAUUCAAAUUAUUAUUUACUUUCUUUCUGAAAAAAAGACUGAAAACAAAAUAGGAAAGUGUUAUUUGCCCUUUCCCCUUAUCCUAAACCUUUAUUUUAUCGUAUCAUUAAUUCCCACACCACAAGGUAUACAUUGAUUUCUAGAAAUCGUGUACCCUUGUGUGAGCGUGUUGGGGCUUGGAAUCUGGGAUUUGAGCCGAGAAGAAAUAAACCAAGAAAUGAGGGAUGUGAGCCUUGACCCAAUAAUGAAUAUUUAGUCCAUGUAACAUUUCUAAGCCAGAAAUGGAAUGCCAACAAACCGAGUCCUAGUGAAAUUGGUAUUGCUAAACAGUUGGAUUUAGGUAUUGCUCGGUCGAGUCCUAGAUGAAUUAUAAUUGCUAAAAAUAAGGAUGAGUUUUGAUAAGAUUCAAAUCAUUUCAAGAAUCAAAACAUGUGACUCAUCAGAUGAGAAGUGAAUUAACAUGUAAGAUGACUAGGUUCAGAGUCCUAAUUCAAGUCAAAGAGGCCACAACUUGAAAAAGAUAGAGUUUCGAUAGGAAAGGGGUCUAAUGGGACAAUGUCAAGGAUAUCCAGGUACGUAUUGAGGAGUCACAGUCCAAAUGGGAUUCUACUUUGGCAAACAUGGUCACGUAGACGGGACUUUCAACUCAACACACAAACCAAAGCUCUUCGUGAAACCCUCGCUCUAUGUGAAACCUUCUCAUAUGCUGAGAAAAACAAUAAUUGCUUCACUAACCCCUCCGUCAGCACACAUUCAGUUCUGUUGUACAUCAGUAGGUUGACAAACUAACGCCAUACUCAGUUCGGUUGAACAUCACUGGAGUCGUAGAAUCAAGAACUCUUAGUUGGCAAAAAGUCAUUGAUUAUCUCGCCGAACGAGGUCACUUCAUUAGUUUUCUCGUCAAAGUGGAGAUGUUUAGUGUUUACACAUGGAAAGAACAGUUUUGAAGUCAUAGGAAAGCAUAAUUGUUUAUGUUCGUAGACCUAUUGCUGAGUGUGUUUCUUCACAUUGUAAUUUCUCAGUUUACUUCCAUGGUAGAGAACCCUCAUUCUCGAGUAGUGUGGAGAGAGAGAUAGUUAUCUUCCUGAUUUGGGUUAUACAUUGUACUCACCGGUUUGCAUGAAAAAGACACGGGAUGGACACACCAUUUUCAUCAUCGUAACUACCACGCUACAUUAAUUCAAUGAACACAUUUUGCCGAGCCAACUCGGUAAGGAAUUGACAUGCUCGCAUCAGCCUUCUAACCACACGUGAAGGAGUAUUUUUUAGGAGCAUUGUCUGAUACUCUAAUGUCUAAUCUAACUUACAUUAUAGUGACAUACCGAUCAUGUGUGUCUUGAAUAUUUCCACUGCUCUGUGAUUCAUCAGCAAAGGAUGCUUUGGAUUGUAAUUCUUAGCUAUAAUUACAAUAGGUUACUUUUACGGUUCUUUUUACAAAGAAGGAUUUGUAACUUAAACAAUAUACUCUCGUGGAGAAUGUGUGGUUAUUGGUUCUUCUAAAGGUUACUGCAUUAUAGUCCUACGAAAAUUCAUUCUAUUUGUAGAUACAUUUAAAUUCCCAACAACCACUUGAUUAGUCCGUACUGCAUCGAUGAAUCCAGACCCCGUCCCCAGGCUACGUACAAAAUCCUUAUUUGUUUAUUUAUUUCUGUCAUUGGCUCUCAGUGGCAUAACUGUCACUCGAGGAACAUAAUGAGUGUUGUUAGGGUUCAGUAGUACUCUCAUGCUCCCACUGACUGACCUACCUAUAUAAAAGCAUUUCUCACUACUGUGUAGGGUGCAAACCAUCUCGUAGAUAUUAGGAUCAGAGGUAUUUUUCAACCCAUGACAUAAAUCCCUUUCGAUUGCUUUCUGUCUGUCAGUGAGGUAAUUGGUAAUUAUAAAUUCAUUAGAGAACUAACACCUCCGGUCUUGUUUAUAUUUUCCUCUUGAUGUGAAUGAUUUUCAGAUAUAGUCGAGUAUUUCUUUUCUUAAAGUCUUUUUCUACCCUUUUUAGUCGAUGCAAUCUAAUUAUUUGUACUAACUCAAAAUUCUUUAAUAAUAUAUAGCCAAAUUAUAUAUUGAAUGAAAGAGAGUAAAAAUAGAAAGUAGUUUUGGUACCUAGUUCUAUGGGGACCAACUGAACAUUAUAUGUUUAAUUGUGUUCCUCUUCCACUGCACAGCCAUCGAGAUUAGAAUGGAGAUAGUUAUCACAUUUCUUAUAUGAUCAAUAUACAGGUUACAUUAAUGCACUAUGUAAUGAAUAAGAUUCUAAAUGAUGUAUAAACUCUAUAUAUUUUAUCAUAAUAAUUUUAAAAAAUCUUUCCUAUUUGUAAAUCCCGCAUACUAAGAAUUUCUUGCCUUUUUCCAUACGUCACUUUCAAAUACUUUUCAUGUAUUUGGUAUAUUCAGAGGAAUAAAUUUACGUAUCUCUCAAGAACAUGCCAUGACUGAGACUCCAUCCAAGGACCCUAUACAGGAGUCUUUUUAACAAUUAUCAGUUAUUUUUAGUGUGAACAUGUUUGAAGUUUAUAAAACCCUCAUUCAAAAUGGAUCUACAAUUAAAAUUUUUAGAAUAGCCGCAUCAAGGACACCAUUAAAACAUCAUGUGGUAUGACAAGUCAGUAUAUUUGCUAGGAAUGCGCGGGCAUGGUGAUCCUAUAAUGAAUGUAAAUAUGUGGUGUAUUGUUAUUCAAGAGAAAUGGUAUUUGAGACCUGCUUCAAGUUCACAUAUAUGAUUACUACAGCAGGUACCCAACUCCAAUACUCCUAACAUGCCUCGCAAUAUCUACAAUCUUUACAGUGGUGACUAGUUAUGGAGCCCCGAGUCCUGCCUUUUGGAUCUAGUGUCUGCUCUCUUCUAUUACAACUAUCGUGUCUUUCUGUUAUUAAUUGGAUGAAGAGUGUUUUUUCUAAUCUGUUUAGGGUUUAAUAUGUGUGUCAGACAUGCAGUUGACUUAGUUAGUGAGUUAAGAUUAGGGUGUGUUAUCAAGUUUUUUAAUCUACACAUGCCUCAUUCUUGACCAUCUAUUUAGAUAUGUCACUAGUCGCGAUGGUUCGAUCGAUAGGAUAUUGGCGUUUACUUGUUAUAGCGUAAUAAAAAUUAAGAUUAUCAUUUUAAUGAUUUGUUGAUUGUCUACAAUAUGCAUCUUCGAUAUUCACCCAAUACUCCUUUAUACAAUUAUUAAUACUAUUGAAUUUCACGCGGCAUACUAAUCCAAGUUUUAUGCGAGACCCCAAUUUUAUGAGUAUUUUUUGCUGCCCUCUAAUGCAUCUUAAUAUCGAGUGACAACCAAGAUUGAUUUUCAAGCAUAAAUUCUUGUUAUCAGCUCAUGCCUAACAUUAUAGUUCUUUCUAUCUUUUUCAGUUUUCUUUGUAUUUAACUUAUAUCAAAAUAGAUCAACAGUACAUAAUAAACUCAAUUGAAGAUAGAAGUGCCCACAAAAGGAUGAAACAAUAAGAAUGUGUGAGAGGAGAACACUCCUGCUCCUUGUAGUACAUCCUAAAACCUCCUAUUUAAUAGAAAGAUCCACAUUCAAGCAAUAUUUGAAGGAUAUGCAAGUAAACAUUACCCUGAUAUUUUACCUAUAUUAUAUUUUGAAAAUCUAUUACAAUCGUAUAUUAACAACUUUUUCCAAUACGAUUCUUUUUCAAACCUUUCAAUAUCCGCAUACAUUCUCUUGUAUCCCAUACCUCAUCAAAUAAUAACCACUCUACCUGUCAUAUAACAUUUGUCCAAAAAACAUUCAUUAUCGUCCUCGAAGUUGUCCCCAGACGUGGCCUUUUAGGAUAUGCUUAUACCAUUUGGCUGCCAAAUGUCUCGCCACAUUUGUUUAGGAAUAAAAAAUAAACCGGUUAAUUUUUUUAAGAAAUAAAACCUGGAAUUUUAAGAGAAAAAAAAAAUUUGAAAACCCAGUAGUCCUCAACCCCUAGGUACACUCUACAAAAUCUCCUCUCCAUUUCUCCCUUCCAACCAGAACCUUGCCAGGAUUAACCUGGCAUGUAGACCGAAGAUAUGAAGAGGAUAUAGAAAAAAAAAUUAAUAAUCCCUCAGGUCUUCGUCACCCUUCCAAAAAACUCUUGACAAACCGCAAAAAGAAAGAAAUGCAAGAAUGAAGUAGGCGAUAAAAAAAAUUGAUAACACGUGAAAAAAAUAUGAAUACCAGUCCGCUCAGUUCGUCCCACCGAGCAAUUCUCUUUCUCCCAUUCCCCCAUCACCCGCUCGCCAAAUCCCCCAAUUCACUCCACACCACCAAAAAGAAUAUGUCCAUCCGCGGUUUAGGUGGAAUAUAUAUUCCUACUCGUACACAAAAACCAAUUCCAAAUUGCCUUUUCUCUCAAAUACUCUACACACACUUUUAAAAUAGUAUAGUAUGUGCCUUGGGGUUUUGUGGGGUGUAAAAAGGUUUCUUUGUCUUUAUUUUUUCCUCCCCCUCUUUACCUUCUUUCUUCUAUUUGCUUUCUCUUCACAUGGAAUUUAGCAGGUUUUUUUGCGGUGGGGGAUGAACUGGUGGGUUUGUGGUUUGUAUAUAUUUCUUGUCUCCACCUCCUAAUUAUCCAUUCUAUCUUCUUUUUCUCUUUCUCCAAUGUUCUAGAUUCCAAUUAACAUAGACAUGAGGUAGUCCAUGAGGUUAGGGUAUCUAGGGAUGUUGGUGGUAUCUUUGUUAUAAAAACUGAAUAGCUUCAUUUACUUGAAUUUAGUUGGUGUGGGCGGGGUAGGUGUCCCUGCAACUUAAUGGCGUUCUCUUUCGGAUUCUUUGGAGAUAAUAUGUGGGGUUUCAAUUUUUUUUUUUUGAAAAUUUUCACGUUUUUUUAUAAAGAUACAAAAAUUAUAUGUGUUUUUUUAUUUAGCCUUUAUCGAGUCAGCAGACAUUUUUCGGCUGCCUAACGUCUUGUUGAUAGUGCUCCAAACAUCUAAUCAGGGUGUUAGUCUACGACUUAUUGCAUUAGAUGAGAUGAAAAUGUUAAUGGAUGCAACAACGGCGUAACAUAACCUACCCAUCUAGCAAAUAAAGAAUUAAGGUAGAAUUCGGAGAUGUUAUGAGUAUUCUUAUAAAAUGUGUUUGUGAACGAUGUGUUAUGCGAUUGUACAUUAAAUAGACCUACCUAUAGAAUCACAGGAGGUCUCAGUAUUGUUUGUAAUUUACCCAUUCAACUACAUAAUUCACAUCUCUCUCAAUUGUAAUAUACUAGCUAAAGUUACAAUUGACCUUUAUAUCUUUUGGUCAGUGAAUUAACAAAAAUGCUACUUUUAUCAUAUUUUUGUAUAUUAUAUUUAGACUAUUUUUCUAUUAGAGAUUGGACAUGUCUAGUGAUAUUUUUCUUCAUUUGUAAGUGAACGGUAUUAGGUUCGAUUCUCGUCACAAGCACAAACGAAUUUGAACUACAAUAUUGUUAGCAUAUUGUGAGAUAAUCAAGUAUUAAUUCACUAACUCUUAUUGUGACGAUAAUUUGAACCACAAUAUUAUUAAUCAAAUUACUAAUUCACUAACUCUCCUUGUGACAAUAUUUUGAAUUCGAUGCAAGUAGAACUAACUCGUUUUAACAUCUUAGCUAAGUCCAAGUUAGUUAGCAUAAGUUUAAACCAAAAACCUCAAGGCAACGCAAAAACUCUCUUUACUGCAAGUUCCUAUCAUUUUUCUUUUUCUUUCUUUUUUAAUGGUGAAAGAUGACCUAAAUUUCAAGUUUUAAACAGAUAAUUAAAUGAGUAGAUUCUUGUUUUGAUUUCAUUCCUUAGUCAGUUGAAUCAUAAUUUAAACACAAGAUGUAAUUUAAACCGAGCUAGAUGUGGAUGCUAGUGUUUUUAUUAGAAAAAAGAGUAAGAAAAAGGGCCUGAUAGGAAGUAGUAUUAGAGCAGAGAUCGUUGCAUAUGAGAUUGUAAACACUCCGAGACAAGAGACAGGAGAGAGAUGUGAGAAACACAGGAUCGUAAUAGUCAGAUAGUAAAAAAUUAAGUCUGACAAACACACCUUUAAUUACUACAUGUGUGGGCCGCUUUAUGCCUGACCCUCUAAUGUAUCAUUCAUGUUCAUCAAGUCACCUUAGCUUGAAAUGCAAUUCUCGUACACCAUGUUUUGGGCUUCACCACAAAAUCUAGAUGCAUCUCCACCAUUGUUUUAUAAUAUCUAAAUCUCAUAGUCUAUUUAAAUAUAAAUGCCUCGAGAUUCACCUUUCUCCCUAUAAAUCAAUCCUCUUCAGUCUCCUCGCUCUCUAUUUUUGUCAAAAUGUAAUAUUUAUUUAGAAGGAUAGCACGAAUAUAAUGUUAUAAUUAAUUAGGUGUCAAAAUAGAAAAUAAGUAUGUGUUUGCAAACAAUAGGUGAAAAUAUGUAAUAUUGUCAUCAUUCAACUGGAUUUUCUCACAUAUUAUUUGAUAUACCAUGUUGAACUCAUCGUUACUGUUAUAUUAUUUAGAUUUCAAACCUCACCAUUCUCUAUACGUUUUACGUUUUGUUUCUUUUUUUUCAACGUUACUCUGACAUCCUGCGUACAUGUUUAUAUUAUAACUUCAUCGAUUAAAUUAUACAUAUCACAUUCUUAGUGGAGGGCAUGCCCUGGCACAAUUUGGUGAGAUACGUGAAUUUACUACUCUCAUGAUACCUUGCGAUAUCUCGGAUUCUUCCACACUAUUUUAUUCAGUGCUUCUCUCAAUAGGCCAAAAACUUGCUAAUCGUUUUGGCCUUUAUGGAACCUUGACGUUACGGAUGAAAUGUGUUCUGCGUAUGGCAAUCCACUAAUGAUGUAGCAGGAAAAUGUUGAAUACACUUCUCUGGUUCUUCUUAGGUAUGCGCGAAAAAGAUGUGGAGUUAUAGUUGACGGAUAAUAUGGCCCAUUUUUUAUUAGUGGAACCGAAUAAAUGUAAUCAUCAAUUAUUAUAUUUUUUUUUAAAACAAACAAUAUUUUCUACACUUAAGGGGAGAAAGUAGGCUUCGACUACAAUAACUUGAAAUGUAUGCAUGAGUUUAUUCUGGUUGGGAAAUAAUGUGAUGUCAAUUAGCGAGACAUCUCGCCGCAAUUAUUUAAAUCAUACUAAUAUGAGAAAAUUAAAAGUAAAGUUAAACAAUCACGUUCCGUUCCAUCCGAACUCUUGUAAAGAUUAGUGUAUUAUCAAGCUGAUAAAUCCUAAAACUAAUAUUUUCAUUGUUCAUUUUUCCAAUUGGGUUGCCAACUUAACUUAUGCUUAUGUAACUCUUGAUUAGUAAAUUGAAGUAAAAUAAUAACCAACAUUCUCUCUUCUCAGUAAUUUAAUUAGAUGAAGAAGAUACCCAUCUCUGAUUACUUACUACCUCCCUGCUCCAGUUCUUAAACAUCAAGGAAGUAAUCAUCUGGUAUACGUCUAUAUUUUCAUUGUAUGCUUUUUGAUAAUUUUAUUGCAACUUCUCAUGACUUUUAUAAUAAGCAAGAUCUAAAGCAUUCGCAUUAUUAGAGUUCUUCUCCCACUCCAUAAAUCCCCACCGCCAGAGCCUCCUUAAUUGAUAGUUUGACAGCUUGUAAUAUGAGGUCUUCAUUUUUAUGUCAUGACUUUAAGAACUGCGUGUCUCCUAUAAAUCCAUCAUAUCCCAGAAUAACUGUGACGACUUUUCUUCUUUGCCUAUAUUCAUGGUUAUGACUCUCUCAGUUAUAAAUAAUAAUAUAUAUCUUAUAAAAGAAAAGUUCUUUUGGAUCUACCAUCAUUGUCUAUCCUCAAAUUUACUUCUAUUCAGACUAUCUAUAUUCAACCCUCUUAUUAAUUUUACCAUAUUCCUAGUUCAUUAAGCCAUCUCCCAAUUCUCUCCCUUCCAUGUCUAUCUGCGCGAAUCUCUUUCAAGAAUAGUAUCUUCUAUAAUUGUGUUUGUUCGUGCCAUCAUUUGACUCCAAAAGAUUCACCCACACCCCAUAUUUCGUGUGUCAUCUCUCUAGGUUAUCGAAUUUUAAUUCUUUAUCUGUCUUGGUAGUAUAUAAAUCAGACUCCACAAUUCGCACAAAGGACUAGUGUCGUCGACAGCGCCUCAAAUCGAGACUAAGAUCAGUUCAAGCGCGAGCGGCGCCUUAACCUCGUUCCGUCCAGCGUUCUUCCUUGGUUCUCUGUUAAGUAUCGAACCUAGAACAGAGGGCAAUACCUGGGUCGGUGAGAAAGCAAGAUGCUGUCCAACGCUCUCUAAGUCUCCCCAACAUAUGUGAAGACUCUGAGCGCCUCCCUUGGUGACGACAGAGCUUCUUGGUGCUAUGGUAGUUAUUGUCUGCCAUUAACUUGUUCAUAUACCGUAGUAAUAGCGACGAUGGUUUUUGGUACAACUUGGGGGAACAAAUUAGAUAGAUAUUUUAUUAAGAUUGAAAAAAUGCUCAAAUAUAAGGCGAUUCGUUGCAAGCUUAGUCGGCAAGAAUUCAGGAUUUACAAUUCAACAACGGUUUGGCCGCGGCGGCCUCCGAUACAAACUAAAGGAAAGAUGAAUAGUUGGUUUCGUGUUUCUCUCGGCGAGUAUAAGCUUGAGACGCGAUCAGUUUACUCAGAUAAGAAGAACGUUGAUAAUAUAAUAUAAAGGCCGAAUGAUUCACAAGGACACACAACGUUCCAUUUCUGAUGAACAGACGUUUACUAUCCUCAUUAUGUCGAUCUAAAGUGUCUCUUUCUCCUAUCGCCGUUCCUUAUUGACCUCCGGCCAUGUCUAUCAGAUUCCACACCUCUAACUUCCUUUUUAUGAGGUAAGGAUUAUUUUAUUUGUUUAUUUACUUUUUCUUUUCAUAUUUUCUUUAUAUAUUCAAUGAAAAUGCAAAAAAAGAGAACCAAAAAAAAUGCAGAAAAGAAAAUAAGUUGGAAAAUUCACUUUGUUUAUCGAGCUUCUUGUGUUUACAUAUUAGAUAGUAACACAAAUCCAAAUUGUUCAUUUUUUGUUAGCAUUAUUCAAUGGCAAAUGAAUUUGGCAAACAUUUUUUUCUUGGCUUAUUCAAUCUAAAUGUCAUAAAUUAGAUAAAUUUAUUUAUUCUUUUUGAAAAUUGUUAUUAGUAUUUCAAAAUUUUCAUUAUACACUCCUCAUUAGUCUGUUUUUCUUUUUUAUUAUAAAAAAUUUAGAAUGCAAAAUGAGAUUUUUCUUUUAUAUACAAGCUAUACUUUAUAUUAAUUUAUACUAAGGAGAUAGAAAGUUGAAAAUAAAACCUUAAUCACCAAGUUAAUUCACCACGCAAGCUACCUAUUUUUUUACGGAGUGGAAGUGUAAGUUUCUUGUUUAUUAAUUGAAGCUUGAAAGUAAUAUUGCUUGUUGUUGGGAAUUGUGCAGAUAAAAAAUGAAAGUGGGGGUGGUGGACGCCAAAGUGGAUUGUCGGUCGUUUCUCAGAAACAUCAUUUGAAUGAUUACCAAAUGGGAGGCUUCGAGAGACCUACAAGUGCUAGUUUAACUGAGGUAAAAAUUCAACUGCAUUUCAAUCUCAAUAUAUAUAUAUAUAUAUAAAUUUGAUAAAAAAAAAAGGUACAUGUUUUCUGGAAUUUAUUUUUACAGUUUGUGUGGAAGGGGUGAAAAUUAAAAAAUGGACAAGAAGAUGUUGACAGUGAUUCAAAUAAAGUUGUCCCCAUAGAAUGGAACAUAAAUAUCAAAUCUAGUUUUCUGCCUUGUCAUUUUCAAUGAAUAGGAUAUAAAUUUUUGUAUUUGAAAAAGUUGAUCUAGUUCAUCACCUUCGUGUUUACAAAUUGCACAAUUGGCUAGAAUGAUCAUUUUCGACAUUUGGGGUGUAGAAAUGACCAAUUAGCUGUGUCGAAGAUUGUUCGUGAAACCAAAUGUCAAAAAAUGACAAAUCAUGUUAAUUGUUCCUAAAAAUUAGCUCUUCAAUUUAAAUAAUUAAUCUAAUGCAUUUGCUUUAAUGGUCGACUAGAAUGUAUGUUACUUAAUAAGUUCAUAGUUUAGUUAGUUAAGAGCAUUCACUCUCGUCACUGGAGGUCUCGAGUUCCCCCACUACUCUGAUAUCCCUUCUAUAAAAAAGAAGGAUAAUGCUAGGGAGAUCAAAUUUUAAACCAAAUUUCCAAACUAAAUGAUGUAUCAUCAAUAAGAAAUAAGUGCAUUAAUCGACACUUAUUUAAUAAUCCAAUCAUCAACAACCACAUCAUUUGGUUUACAUAGUUUGGUUUAAAAAUUUAGUUUCCCUAUCAUUACUCCAAAAAGAAUGUUUGUUAUACUUAACAAAAAUUCAACUAUGCUCUAAAGUCUCAUACUCCGGAACACCAUAAAAAAUCCCAUUGCUUAAAGUACGCACUCCUGCGCCCGAGAAUUCGAGUUCGCUUCCUUACUCCCUGAUAUCGCUUGUAUAAAAAAGAAUGUUUGUUACUUCAAUCUUUGAGUAGACAUGUUGAUUGCAUUAGGCUGCAAGGGUUUCAAGAGUGAGUUUCUAGGAUGAUGAAUAAGCAGACAUGUUGAUUGAAUUUCACAAUGUGCAGGUCAAAUAUCAAUCCUGUGGGAAACCUGAUCGAAAAUGCAUACACGGAUUUAAGACCGGUUUGAAGGAUGUCAGUAGUGGCCUUUCUACAUCUAAAGAGCUUGUGAAGGUUCUUACUCGCAUUUCGGGUCUUGAAGAGCAGCAUUCGUUAACUACAACCCUACUCUCAGCCUUACGAGUUGAGCUUGAUCGAGCGCGUGUCCAGGUUCAUCAACUGAUCCGAGAACAGAGGUCUAACUGCAACGAAAUUGAGUUUCUCAUGAAGAAGUUCGCAGAAGAAAAGGCGGCCUGGAAAAGUAAGGAGCGAGAGAGGAUACGUGCUGCAAUAGCGUGCAUGGCAGAAGAACUUGAGGUGGAGAAGAAGCUAAGAAGACAAACAGAAAGGUUGAACAAGAAGCUAGGGAAAGAACUGGCAGAUAAAGAGGCAGCUCUGUCGAAGGCCACGAAAGAGCUCGAGAGGGAGAAGAGGGCAAAAGAGAUUUUUGAGCAAGUUUGUGAUGAGUUAGCCACAGGUCUUGGGGAGGACAGAGCACAAGUCGAAGAGCUAAAGAAAGAAUCGGAGAAAGUCCGUGAAGAAGUGGAGAAGGAGAGGGAAAUGCUUCAGCUAGCCGAUGUGUUGCGCGAGGAGAGAGUCCAGAUGAAGCUUUCUGAAGCCAAAUAUCAUUUUGAGGAGAAAAAUGCCGUUGUGGAACAGCUAAAGAAUGAACUAGAGGCUCAUUUGAGAUCCAAAACGCGCGAAGGUAGUCGCGGUUCUCCAGAUUUCAGUAAAAUCAAGGAACUCGAGGCUUAUUUAAAGAAGAUAAAUUUUGGAUCAUUUCAGAACGCGAAGAUAGAAGGGAAUGAAAUGGAAGUUGCUGCAUACAGAGUGGAAUGUGAAGACGAUUCAAAACGGACUUCAGUUGAUAGCGAUCUUCAUUCCAUCGAGCUAAGCAUGGACAAUAACAACAAGAGCUACAAAUGGAGUUACGGUUGUGGAGAUGAUACUGAAGAUGAUUCAAAGCGGACUUCGGUUGAUAAACAAUUCAAAGGGAGAAGAUCGCUCUCCGAAAAAAUACAAUGGGAAAGCAUAUGCUUAAACAAAAAUUCCAGCGGUAUCGAUUGGGAGUUUGGCGUAAAAUCUCAAUGGCAGUCAGACGGGCGGCUUAUAGAAAUAUCAGAGCUUGUUCCGCAAACUCAAACCCCAGAACAUGAAACCGAAACAAAGAAAAAUGGUUCUGUUAAGGGUCUUGCAGACCAUAGGUUAUCGAAUUCAAAAGUGGUUCCGAUCCAUAGCCUAGCCGGUACAACUUGUCAGUUCCAAUCCUUUCCGACGAAGGAUCCAGGAAACGAAGUAUGCGGAAGUUAGACUGAUGGGCCACGAGGCCACGAGGAUGGUUCGAAGCUCCAACUAGCAGGAAGAGAAGGCCAAUGCCGGGAUCAAGAGAACAUCGACGUUUUCAUGUUACUUCUUCCCCGCAACGCAUUGCUUUGCUUGUGUUUUCAAAUCUUGCCACUAAAAUUGUUUGCAUCGAUCAUGUUCGAUAUUACAGAUAGAACAAAUGUAUAUACACUUUUACACACUGCUUUGUAUGGAACCAAAUAUAAUUUGUUUUUGAGUUCUGAGAAAUAUACAUUAUUUGCUGCAUGGUUUCUUCUUGAUCUUUUAGGGAUAGCGAACGUUACGAACCUCGCCAAGUAGACUGUGACAUGGUUGCCGAAAUUCUUGACGUUCAAGGCAAGGCGCUCACCAUUUUCGCAUUAGCUGCACUUGGACAACACGAUAGCUUACAUUUUUAUGAUUGUAGAGCAUAUGCUGGAUGCAACGCGCCUAGUUCUAGAUGAGCUUGCGAAUCUGAAGCCUUGUGGGGAAUGCAUUUCAAGGGUAGAGCGAAGAACCGUAACUACUGUAACUGCUUAAGUAGGUCUGCGGUCGCAUUCAGAAUCAACAUAACAAAUUCAACAUGUUUGGGAAAACAUAUUUAGGACCUUGAUCUCCAUACACAGCAAGAAAGUACAGAACCAUAUUAAACUUCCAUCUGUAGCAGAUUCUUUAUGGUACUAAUCAGUUGGAACGAUUCACAUUUGACGAACGAGAACCAUAUGCGAAAGCAAGGCGACCAGGUUACAGAGGAAAUACAUCAUUGAUGAUAUAUGUACAAAAGGGUCGUCUUAUUCUUAUUGAACAGGCCUGCAUUUUGCAAACCACUGUCAGAUGAACUGACGAAACCUAAUUAUGGCUUAUGUGAGACUGCGCGAUCGGUCUUUGCUGAGGCUGAUGUGAAAGUAACUGGAGUUGCUGGAUGGUCCCUCACGAUCAAGCUAAGCACUUCGGGCCGUGAAUAGUGGCCAACCACAUCAAAGUCAAAUUUCGCCCUUGCUAUUUCUCCAAGAUCUAUGCAACAUUUGGACAUUAGAAAUAUCAGAGCUCAGUCUCCUUAAACAAAACAGCUAAAACUGUAGACAUAGUAUGACAGUUUUACUACAGGCGGAAUGCAUCUCUCUUUAUACUGAUUUCUUUGUUUACAGUUUCGGUUGUAUAGUCCACUAAAUGAGUGCUUAUUUGAUUUACCACUAUAUUCGAUUCCUCCUAUGUGAGUUUGUGGGAUCAUUCCGAACUUCGAGCUGGCAAUAUAACUAUUUAAGGAAAACACUUGGUCCUCAUGAAACGUAGCCACAAGCUUGCAACCAUAACCACCGUAAUCUAUGUGUGUGUGUGAGAGAGAGGAUCAAUCAAAUUAUAUUAUCAACUAAACCAUAUUGCCUCGCAACAUACACAUAACAGCACAACAGAGAGCCUAGAUCAUAGAGUUUCAGUAAAUUAUACCAACACUUACUUUCAAAUACCUCUUAUUUUUAAAAGCUCUGUACCGCUUCCCCGCCAUAUUGGAAUUUAGAGAAACUUCUUAUACCAGACUAGGGUUCUCAUUUUUCUAGAAAUGUUACAUUAAGGUUGCAUAUCAACUGAUGCAUCUGGUGUCCGUUUUAUGUUUAAUAUUAUCUGAAACGGACAAAAUAUAGGAAAUAUCAUAAAGGCAGUUGUAGUAACUUGAGGUUAAGUUAUGCUGAAAUCUAUUAUGGGAUGUGAGGGUACUUUAAUUUCUGAAAACAGAAUGGAGGUUCCUGCCAUUUCGCUUAAGUUGAAGUUUUUCUAAUUUCCACUAUAUCUCAAAGCCGGAUUGUUGUAGCUCAAAAUUAUGUCAGCACAGCUUCCAAUCUAGAUGCUUAAUUGCUGUUAGAAGAGAAUAAGCAGAUGACAUACCGAGAUCUGCUGAGAUGAGUGCCUCCCCAUCAUAAUUGGGUCCAGCAAGAAUAGUCCCCGACGGUGAGAUAAUAACACUGCCUCCAGCACAGACGACAGAAUCUGGAGCAGGUUCCUCUCCUGCAAAUGCAUAUUCUGGAGGAGGGGGGUAGUCUUUCCUUCGACAGAACUGAUUGGCUGAUAGGACAAAACACCCACCCUCUAAGGCAAUAUGAGUCAUUGAUGCUUGCCAUAAAUCCCUGGAAUCAGCCGUAGGAGCACAAUAUAUCUCAAUGCCUGCACACAACAAAGCAUCCAGCAUCAAGUCAUAGUACUAAAGUAUCAAAAGCAAUACUAAGAACGCCUUUAAACUCCACCAAGAAAUGCGUCGUUUCUACCAUUAAUUUUCAUGUUCACGUUGAGGUAAGAACUGUUUUGAACUAAAACACAGUUGAUGCACAAAGUUGGAUCAACUUAGAUCGGACCCUAAAACCACACAAACGAACAGGAACACAAAGAUGUAUCAUGGUUCACCUUCACCUGAAGUUGGGCUAUGUUCAUGCUGGUGUAGUUCUGUUUCAUUAUGCAAAUGUAGGUUACAUUGUACAGGAGUUUGAGAGAGUAAAGUCUAGGGUUUACCAUGAGAGUCCUCUCUCAAACGAGGGUGGGGUUGCCCUUAUAGAGUAAAGGAUAAAAAAAAAAAAAAAAAAAGGUCGUACCCAGUGCACAAAGCUCCCGCUUUACGCAGGGUCUGGGAGAGGUGAAUGUCGGCUAGCCUUACCCCCAUUUAUGGAGAGGCUGCUCCCAAUAUAGAGUAAAGGAUAGAAUAGGAAAAAAAGUAGCUAGGAAAAACCAUGUAUUUAAUGGAUGGUAAAUUGCCAACUUGGUAAGGACAACCAGACUAUGCCACAAAUGUUGGCAGACUAUUCUUUAAGUCUUUAGAAAGAAGUGUAAGUGUAAAUCAAGCCCGUGUCUUAUUUCAAUUUGAGUUAAUUGAGUAGCAACAUAAUCAACCAAUCGCACAGGAACCUAGAAACUGACUCAACCCCACAUAAAGAUCGCAGAACAGUAUACUUAACUCAACUAACUAGAUAGCCAAAUAAUCUUUUUGACCUGAUACCGGUCUGUAUACAAGUUAACACCCCAUAUGGAACUCAAACUUGCAUGGCAAAGCAUGAAAACUGGAAGUAAGCAGUUUCAAACAGGGCUAUAGCUUGGAAGUAAAAUGAGAAACCCAGAUAGUAUUGACUGCCCAUGUAAAGCCAUCCUCCAUUCAUAUAGCACUAAACUAAAUGAUGCAAUUACGAACACCAAAAUAAGAAAUGAAAAAAAAUUGUACAAUAGCUUCAAAGAAAACUUAAGUAUUUAAAAAGUGAGUAAAAAAUAAUUAAUGAAGUUGUGAUAUUUCAAAAUUUCCUGUUCAAAUAACUAACCUUUAGCAUACAUUGCUGUCCUUAGAAGUGGCAUCUUAUUUUCCCAACAAAUGGCAGCACCUAUUUUUCCAAUCGGAGUCUCAAACACAGGAAUUGUAGAUCCAUCUCCAAAUCCCCAAAUGAUCCGCUCCAGUGCUGUGGGCAUCAUUUUUCGGUGCUUUCCCAAGUAGCAACCUUGAGAAUCAAAAAACAGAACAGUGCAAUAGAGUGUAUAUCCAUCUCUCUCUAUCACACCCAUUACCAGGAAUACCUUGUACUUUCCAGCCAUUGCUGCCAAUCGAUCAACUUCAGGACCUGCAUUAGUUAACAAAAAAAGUGAAACUACAUAUCAUAUGUUCACAAUUCUAUUCAUAGACUGCAUUUGGGUCAAACAAUGACAAUUUUAGAACACAGUGUCCGCCUUCGUUUUGAUAUAAGACCAAAAUAUGAUAGCAUGCCUCAGUAAAGUUAUUAACACUUGGUGUAACAUAAGAUUUGAAUUCCGUAUAUUAGGAAAACAAUAAGCCAACUGAGAUACUUCUAAUAAAAUUUCGUUGAUAAGAUCCACUUGCAAAACAGUGGUGUAGAAUGUUUCGCUGAGAGCCUGACAUGAACCACUAGUGUCCUUUUUUAGCAACCACAAUUAACUCAUGAAGGGCAGGACAGAUAUGCCCGCACUUCUCAUGCCAACCACUGGUAUCCUUUUGGCCAAGUAAAAACAGUUAAGAUGUUAGUUCUAUUCAAUGGAUUGAGAGACCAUUUUCCAAUGAACUAAUGUUCUUUUUUGAACUUUGACAGGUAAAAAGAAAUAAUAGUAUAACCAACAAAAAAGAAGAAAAAACAAAGGAAGUCUUUUCCAACUUUUUUUUUUUUUAAUUUUUUUGUUGUUGUUUUUGCAUCCAAACAUUCAACAGAGUUUUCGCCAAAAAACAAAUAUUCACUAGAAUCAAUUUCCUCUGGAAUCUAACUUUCAUUAGAAAAAAAAAAGGACGGCAGUUAAUUCUCUUCACUACAACAAAGCAACGAAAUUAUAAGUUAUAGCUACUAAUUGAAAUUGAAGUUUAACAAUAAACUGAUGCUUAACCACAGCCAUAGCCAUAGUAGUUCAUUGCACCACAGGUCCACAGCUUAAAUUUUCUUCCAAAAAACAAAGAACUUAUAGCAACUAACAGACGAAUUUGAAGCUUAAACACCAACUGACAUUUCAAUGCACCGAAUGCAUUUCAAUCCACCAUUCAAUCAACCUGGGAAGUCUAAUGAAUUCAUUUUAUCCCAGUUUCUUACACAUGACCAAUGCAUGAAAUCAUCAAGAAAGAAAAAAACAAAGUAGUUUUACCAGGCACAUCAAUGGCAGCAGCAUGAUACUUUCUGAAGUCUUCUUUACCCUUAGCUGUUCUGUUCCCAAUGACAACGCCAAAAUUCGACCCACGUGGAUAACCACCCACAAAUGCUUCAGGAAACACAACCAGCUGGGCACCAUAUCCAGCUGCUUCAGCCAAUAACCUCUCAGCCUUAUCUACGCAUUCAAUCAGAAAUCAGAUCCACCAAAAAUACAAAAUAUCUUCAAUUUACCUAAGAAACAUGAAUGCAGCUAAUUGGGUUAGAUCAAAAAUCAUAUAUCGAAAGCUUAAUUUCCAAUGUAGUCAGGAUUCAGGAAUGAAAAGAUAAAUAACAAUUGAAAUUUAUACUUCAGAAAUUCUGGCUAGGAAUUUAUGCAUUUUCUUUUCAACAGGUCAACUGGACCAAUCACCAUAUUUGCAUCAGUCUUGUAUAUGAUUCUCAAACAAAAAUAUGUUGGGAAAUCUACAAGCAACCCCUAUGUGGUUUACCCCAUUUAACAAAUGAAUUGUGGUCUGUUAGUCGUUGUGGUCUCCUCGGGUAGUCAAAUCUGGUUGGACCGAAAAUAUAUUCCUUUCUUAUACCUGAACACGUAUCACUGGCAACCUCCAAAAAGAAGUACUUCCUCAUCAGUCGUGACCAUACUACUCUUUCUCCCCAAGUUUUCCUCUCUCAGAAUUCAAGAGCCAAAUCACGCAAGGAACGUAUAGAAGUCUAAAUUUCUUCUUGUUCCCUUAUCAACCCACUCAUACUCUGAAAGUCUGAAUGGUCAAGAGGGGAACCCUCACAAGAAGAAAUGUUUUACCACAAUCUCAACGCAAUUGGAAAUGAAGAAAAACAAUCAAUGUCUUCAGCUGCCUCUCUACAUGUGAUACACCAAGUUUUUUUCGAGCUUUAGAGUCGAGUAUAGCUAAGAGGUCGCACUUGGUGCGAUGGCAAGUGCCUUCGCCCAUGAGCGGUAGGUCUCGGGUUCGAGACUUGGGAGCAGCCUCUCCAUAAAUGGGGGUAAGGCUAGCCGACAUUCACCUCUCCCAGACCCUGCGUAAAGCGGGAGCCUUGUGCACUGGGUACGACCUUUUUAGAGUCGAGUAUAGCUAAGAUGGUAUGAGCCUAAUAUUUUGUUUGAGCUCAGCUCAUUUCUUUUACAAUCUGAGUUCAAACAAGACGAGUCAAUCUCAAAUUGUAUCGACCCAAUUUACAACCUACACUAAUUAACAAUAUUUCCACAAAACAAGAAGUAAAAAAAUAUACAACCACAGCAAUUUUGAGAUUUUGAGCAGGCAGCAUUGGAUUUUUUUUUUUGAACGAAUGAUAUUUUAUUCACGUGGGUUGGACUAAUCCUCACAAUGAGCUAGCAAUAAUGUGGUUCAAAUUCGUGUUGGACAAGAAUCGAGGUAAGACCUCUCACAAAAUCAUUAAACGAAUUUUACAAGUUGUCAAAGGAUUAACAAAUUUUACAAGUUACUCGAAAUUAAUGAGAAGCUGAAACAAUAAACUGAAGAAAAAAAAACAAAAAUCCAAAACCCAAAAUUGUAAAGUUAAAACCUCUGAAUUGGAUUUGGGAAAGCAACACAAACAUAAACAUAAACAGUGAGAAGGAAAAUGAAGAAGUAAAUAAAAAAGAGUUGGGAGUCAGAUGAGAAAGAAAAGGGACCUAGAGUGGCAGGGGUGUCGUAGAAGACGGUGGAGGCUUGGACGACGGUGGCGCGGACAGUGGGGGCGGAGUAGUCGGUUCCCAUGUCGACCUCCGCGAUCAGUGGGGAAGACGAGGGUACCAGAGCCAUUUGAAUUUAAUCUUUUGCGUUUCUUGUGUAUUUUCUGUGUAUGCGGCUGAAGAAGGAGGAGGACCGAUCAAUUUCGUAUGACGACAAUUUGUGAUGAAUAUGCGUUGUGUGAGUGAGGAGUGAUGGGCAUUGGAAACUCUAGAAACUCGAAAGUGUCGUGUGAAUUGUUGGUGGUGUGGCGGCUAUUGUUUUUGGCACGUGAUAUAGAAAUAAAGAAUAGAUCUCACUUUAAUAUUCUGAUAAAGCAUUUUAGUUCAGUAAUGUUAUUCUUAUCAUAGUUUUAUAUUAUUUUAUAUGACAUCUGAUAUGACCAGUUACAUCAUUUACAUUAAAAACUUUUAAUAAACCAAUAAUUAAAAAAAGUAGAAUUAAAUGGUUAUUGUGGCAUACGAAAAGUCUUUUCCUUCCUUCCUUCCCUUUCAAUCCUGUUUCUUCUUCCACGCCAAUUCUUUCACGCCAUUUUUUCAGGUCAGUCAAAUCCACCACAAUCUAAAUUAAAUCUUAUACGGCAAUUUUAUGCACUCCCCUAUUUGGAUUAUUGGUACGCGUCUAUCAUUUUUUUCGAUGAACCUUGUCGUACACUUGCAGUGGAAUUUUCCAAACUCGUUCAAUUCCGGUCAGCCCUAAAACCCUGAUUUAGGAGAUGGAAUGUCUCCGGUGUCUUAAAACUGAAUUUGAAUCACUAGGAACAUUCGAAGUUGGACCAUGAGAAUUCUCGGAUGUCUCCGAGCUCUUGUUCUCUACAUGCCCCUUCCCCACAGACCACAAUUUGUCGAAGAUUCUCCUUGACCUAGAUGGCAUCAAUUGUGCACCAUAAUCUAAAUUAAAUCUCAUACGGCAAUCUCAACUAAUUUAGAUUGUGGUGGAUUUGAUUGAUCUGAAAAAAUGGCGUGAAAGAACUAGCGUGGAAGAAGAAAUGGGAGAAUAAGCAGGAUUGAACGCAAAAGUAAGGAGAAGACCCAUCGUAUGCCACAAUCACCAUUUAAUUAUUUUUUAUUUUAUUUUAUGAAAAAACGAAAAUAUAUUAAAGAGAAGUUCCCCUAGUACAUCCAGACCCAGUACAAUAAAAAAGGAAAGCUAGACUAGCAGAAGACGGGAUGGACCUAUCCCAAACAUGGAGGUUUGCGUGCUGAAAACCCACAUCCGUGAUGGCAUCAACCACAAAAUUUGCUUCACGGAAAACAUGAUUCCAUAAGAUGUACUAAAACGACCUGGCAAUGAGUUUGAUGUCCUCAACAAUAUUCCUCACUCUCCUAGGCACACCGCUGAUUCCCUGGAACGCAUCAACAACCAGCUUUGAAUCUCCCUCUACCAUUAUCUUCUUAAGACCUCUACUCCUCGCCAUCCAGAGCGCAUCCCUGAGAGCAAGGCAUUCCGCAAGCCAUUACCGGUUCUCCUCGGUCAUUGCUUAAGAUAAAACCUGCUGCUGCUACAAAGUUCCUGACGGAACCGUCAACCGUCAAAAUUCAGUUUGAAGAAAUCGUCCCUCGACGGUUGUACUCAUUUGCUUCCUGCAAGCUACAGAAAUUUUCUUAUUGACAUUGUUGUACUCAUUUGCCAUACUAGUCGCCAAAAAAACCACCCUAGAAGGGUAAGCUUUGGCUUUGUUGAAAACUACUUGAUUUAUCAUCUUCCAAAUUUGCCAGCAAAUAAUAAGAGCAUAACUAAGAUAUAAUAAAUUCUCAUUAUCAUUAUAAUCUUAGGAGCAAGGAAGAAAAAAUCGAUAAUAUCAGCGAAAUAUCGCCGAUAUUAUCGUUUUUUUGAAGUUUCGAAAUUUUUUUAACUAUCCAACCUAUUUUCGUUAAAAUAUCACAAUAUUAUCGAUAAUAUCGAAAAUAUCACGAUAUUUUCAAAAUUAUCAAUAAUAUUGCAAUAUUUUAUUAAAAAAAUACUUAAAUAUGUUAAAUAAACUCAACACAUACUUCACUUGAUCAUGGCCCAAAGACCAAACAAGCUUUGAAUAUCUCAACAGAGGAGUGUGGCUUUUAUAGGAAAAAUGGCUUGCUCACUUCCUUGCAUGGGCGAUGUGGGACUCGCCCAAUGGGAGAAAAAAUCAAAAUUUCGGCCGAAAUUUUACACCCACUUUAAACGGUCAUAACUUUGUCAAAACUCAACGAAAUCAAGCAAGACAAAAACAAAAGUUGUAGCCCUCGAAGAGACGAAGAGAAUGGUACCUCACACGACGUCUGAAUGGUCGUGGUUUUGCCGGAAAAUGCCUCGAAAGUCACUGAGGUCGCCGGAAACUGGGUAAGAUUCAAAUGAGUAUAACUUUUUCAAUACUCAACGAAAUUGAGUGAAACAAAAAGGAAAGUUGUACUACUCGACGAGACGAAGAGAUUGAUACCUUGCACACUGGCCAACUCGCAGUGGUUUGGCCGGAAAUUGCCUCGAAAGCUACUGAGGUCGCCGGAAACUGGGUAAGAUUCAAAUGAGUAUAACUUUUUCAAUACGCAACGAAAUUGAGUGAAACAAAAAGGAAAGUUGUAGCCCUCGAAGAGACGAAAAGAAUGGUACCUCACACGACAUCUGACUCAUUGUGGUUUGGCCGGAAAUUGCCUCGAAAGCUACUGAGGUCGCCGGAAAACUGGGUAAGAUUCAAAUGAGUAUAACUUUUUUCAAUACGCAACGAAAUUGAGUGAAACAAAAAGGAAAGUUGUAGCCCUCGAAGAGACGAAGAGAUUGAUACCUUGCACGCCGCCCAAAAUUCAAUUGACACACUCCUGGCUUCCAAAAUUCAAUACUUUUACUUUAUAUCAACUUGAAAAAACAUAAUCGGCAUCCAAAUUAAAGUUUAGUCUUAUUCAAUGUAUUGAUUUUCAAUUGUUAAUUGAUAUACUAUAAUUUGGAACUUCAACGCCUAGACGCAUGCUUAUGUGUAAGAAAUUUUAAAUUGUCAAAUUCGGCACAUUAUUCUUCAUCAUUUUAUUCACUCCCUUUUUUUUUUUAAUAUCCUAAAUAAAACCUCCAAAUAUUGUACUAAUUAAUUAUAUAUAAAUGAUUAUGGUGUGUUUAAACUUCUUUCAUUAAUUACUACAUAUUUUCUACACUCACAAUGUUUGCCAGCUCGCUAUAUAAUCAACUUAAAUCAGUUAAAUCCAUCAUGCAAUGCAUUUCCUUCCAAUUUUUUGUGAUAAACUAAUAGAUAAUUGACUAAAUAAACAUCCUACAAAGUUUCAUUAAAAAUUUCCAAGUUUUUCUUACAAUUUCCGUGGUUUCCAUGUAAUUUUUAUCGAUAUCGAUAUUAUCCCGAUAUUUCCAUCGAUAUUUCCGUGUUUUCGGACUACCGAUAUUUCCGAUAUUACCGAUAUUUUCUUCCUUGCUUAGGAGUAAAGGCAUUCAAGAAAACUGCAACUAUUGUGAUUGAUAGGAGGGUGGACUUUUGGGCUAAAAUUCAAAACUUGUGGAGCACACUUGCAAUUAAUAAAAAGGAAAACUAAUGAAAAAUGCUUGAAAACUUUAAGUUUUAAUGAUAAAGACAAAAUAAAGGGUAAAGUGAAUAGUACAUGAUUGACUUUUUAGUGUAAAAAUGUGGUUUUUCGUAAAGUGAACAGUACCGGGUGUUUUUCGUUAAAGUUCCCUUAAUAAAAUGGUGAUUUUGGUCUUCAGGAUCCACAUUACAUAAUAAACAAGUAUCACUUAUUGUAUUAAUAAACCUAUGAAUUUUACUCCUAGUUUGAAGCUUAUUUAGGAUUAGGAUCAAAAGCCAACUAAAUAUUUUAACUUUAUUGGGAAUAUUAAGCUUCCAUAUUCUUUUUAACAACUUAUCCUUUAAAUCAUCACUGAUCAUGGAAUUUUGAAUCCAAUUUGCGGAUUUAACACUGAAGUUUCCAUUAGCAUUCAAACCCCAACAUAACGAAUCAUUUUGAUCGAGAGAGGUAACGAAAUACUGCAUAUUUUCUCAGUGACUUCCUCAUCCACCACCUCUCUCAACCACUCCUAUUCCAGGUUCCAUUUACAAUAAAAUGACUUACCCUACGGUUUAAGUCAAUAUCCUUUCCCCAAAGAAACCUCCUAUUCUCCUUAUCAAGCAUCUUAGUUAGCUUAUCUGGACAUUUAAAGCACGACAUCAUGUGAUUUGGCAUACCGCUAAGAUUGGCCUUGAUCAAGGUAACUCUACCACUAGCACCAACCUAAUAUAAUCCCAAUUCAACAUAUCAUAGGCUUAUUGCACCCGUUCUCCCUUUUCUACGCUUAAAAGUUGACAGAAUCUCAUGAGCAAUUAGAAUAUUAUCAUGUAUGGAUCUCCUAGGAGCAAAAGCACCCUGAUUAUUCGAAAUGUGUGAAAACUGUAUUUGACCAGAAUGAUUUUCAUUGAUAGAAUGAUCAGUAUAAAUAAUACAAUAUCUUUCCUUGUACAACAAGAAAACCUAGAAUCUAGGAAUACAUCAAUAGAAAGUAUCAAUUACAAAUCAAUCAUAUAAUUCUUUCCUAUCUAAUUACAUUGACUUUCUAACACUCCCCCUCAAGUUGGAGAGUGAAUGUCAAGAACACCCAACUUGCACGACAUGGAUGAAAAUUUUUCUUUGCCUAAGGCCUUUGUAAAAAUGUCUGCCAAUUGUUGAGAAGAACUGACAUAUCGAGUAGCUAUAGAGCCGUCUAAAAUCUUGUCCCGAAUGAAAUGACAAUCCAUCUCUAUGUGACGUGUUCUCUCAUGAAAGACAGGGUUGGCAGCAAUAUGCAAUGCUGCCUGGUUAUCACAUGACAUAAUAGCAGGCCCUGAAAUUGGUACAUGCAAAUCUGUUAACAAAUGUCGUAACCAAAUGAGCUCGCAACAUGUCCCAGCCAUGGCCCUAUAUUCGGCUUCAGCACUAGAAAGUGAGACGGUUUUCUGCCUCUUAGUCCUCCACGAAAUCAACGAAUUCCCCAAGAAUAUACAAUACCCAGUUGUAGAGCGGCGAGUUAUCGGACAACCGGCCCAAUCCGAAUCGCAAAAAGCUCUCAAAAUUAACUUAUUAUCUGACUGAAAAUAUAAGCCCUGACCUGGUGUAGACUUCAAAUACCGCACAAUUCGAAGUGCUGCAUCCAUAUGUGGUUGACGCGGUUCAUGCAUAAAGCGGCUGAGUACAUGAACGGAGUAUAUGAUGUCCGGUCUAGUAAUAGUAAGAUAAAUCAAGCGUCCAACCAAUCUUCGAUACAGAGAUGGGUCUUUGAGUGGUUCACCUUUGUCUGAAAGUUUGUUUUCCUCCAUUGGAAAUCCGACGGGUUUUGCACCUAAAAGACCACAAUCCUUGAUAAUUUCAAGGGCAUACUUUCUUUGUGAAAUACAUAAUCCUUUUUUAGAACGAGAAACUUCAAUACCCAGAAAGUAUUUCAAAUUGCCAAGAUCCUUAAUGCGAAAGCGAGUAUGAAGGAACCGUUUGAGAGCAUUAAUGGCAUCUAAAUUGUUGCCCGUAAUAAUAAUAUCAUCAACGUAAAUCAACAAAGCUGUGAAGGAUGUACCAUUUUUUUUUGUGAAGAGAGAAUAAUCCGCUUUGGACUGAGUGAAACCAGCGGCAAGGAUAGCUUCUGUGAAUUUUGCAAACCACUGUCGAGAGCUUGCUUGAGGCCAUAUAAGGACUUGUUGAGGCGGCACACAAGGUUCUCCCCCUGACGCCGAAGACCAGGAGGAGGGGACAUGUAAAUUUCUUCCUGAAGGUUGAUGUGAAAAAUAAGUUAACACACAAAAUUAAACCCUCUUUUUAUCAAUUGUAGCAAAGUAUGUAAAUAGGGAUCGUUCUAGACCGGGGAUUAGGAGGGAUUGCUAAACACUUGAAAACUGACUUAGAAAUGUAAAAACAAAGUUUAAAGCACUAGAUUAGACUCAAAGAAUGCAAAACUCACGUUAAAAUACUAAAACGAACCAAAAGAAUCAAAACAGCAACCAAACACUCAAAACUGCCUAAAAACCACUUUCUGGGCAGUUUUGGGACUCUAACUCAACUUGGACGAAUUUUGGUUUCCUAGUGACCUAAAACACCUAAAAACAUAAACCAACACACUUUCCAAUUAAUCUAGGAAUUCAAAAUAAUUGGGGAUUUGAUUUGGACGAAAAUAAACUUAAAUGGCAGAUUGUAAGAGAAACAGAUUGUAAUACAAAGUUAUGAAGAAUCAAUGGAUGAUGGAAUGGCUAAGGGGUUCUUCUCCACACAUGAAAUAUAUGCAACGUAAAUCAAUUUCCAGUUAUCAAUUCAAUAAGUUAUGAACCUCGACACUCCAAGUUAAUUAGGUCCGCUUAAAUUAACCUUCAGAUUUCCCUAGGAUCAUUGAAUUGGAUGAAUAUGCAUCGCAAACAAAUUAUUCCUAACAAGUUCUUUAUAUGAACAGCAUGAUAAAGACACAAGUUAGAAUCAUUACGUUCUUUGGAAAUCAUAAGCAUCGACAAGGCAUUCGUAACUAUGACAAGCAUGAUACUCUUGCCAGGAAUCUACUUAACACGAUCGUGACUAGCGACCUUCACUACUUACGAAUAUAAAUUCAUAACGAUUAGGUGAAACAAAUUUAUAUCCUAGCAUCAAAUUCAAGCAUGCAAAUUAAGCAUGCACUCUCAAUCAACAUACAAGAAUAAGUUCUAAAUCAAAUGGUUAAGCAAAUUGUAUUCAUGACUUAUGUAACAAUAACUGGAAAUAAUCAACUCAUUUCACAUAUAUAAUCAUGGUUUUGAAUACACCCUUAGCCAAAAACGAAAUUAGCCAAUCAUACUUAAAGAAAAACAAAGAUUACAUGAAUUAGACAUUAAAAUCCAAAGAAAGAAAACACCUAGAAUGCUCCAACUUGGCAGCAAGUGCAUCCAAGAUUCCUCCUUUCCAUUGCUUGCGGCAGAUUGGGUUAUGGACAAGUUUUGGGUAGUUUUAUGGUGUAGAAUGGAUGGGGAAUGGUAUGGAAAGGUUUAGGGUGAGUGUAGAGGAGUGUUUGAUGGUUGGAGGGUGGUGGAGAACUCAGCAAAAAGGGUGGAAGAGGGUGGAGUGGCUGUUAUGUUUUCUGGGCACUAGAAUGGUGUUUUUGGGGUGUUUUGCUGCCUAAGGUGAGUAUGGACGAAUUUUCUGCAUGAAUGAUGAAUAUGGGAGCUUCAACCCUUUGCCAAGGGUUGUAAACAUGUAUAUAUAGGCCCCAAAAACCCUAAAGAAUCAGAUUAGGCAGUGGGGAAAUGCAUAGUAAGGAGGGUGAAUUUGUGGUGUGCAAUGGUCCAAGGAUGAAAAUGGAGCAAUGAUGCAAAGUAUGGAGGGUAAAAUGGAGUGGUAUUUCAGCUAGGGAGCAUGAAUGAUUGUGUUUAUUGCAUGGAAAUGAAAAGGGGAGGUGAAAUGUUUCAGAAAUUAGUUAAAGGUGCAGCAACAUGUGUUGCACAAGGCAUUGGAUCCCAAAUGUGAAUGAUGGAGCAUCAAUUGGUGCAUGGAAUGGUUGUGAAAUCUGAUGGGUGAAGGGAACAAGAGGUAUGCAACAAUUGAGUGUGAUAAUUGAGUGUAUUGAGGCAUGAAAUCAGAAAUAUUUUAGGGGACAAGGAUGAUUAAGCAUGCAUGGGAAUCCAAAGGGAAUGCUAUGUGGAUUGCAUGGCAAGGAUGUAUGUCCUUUUGUGGCUGAGUUCAUGAUCCUUUGUACACUAAUUCUUCACAUUCUUAGCCUCUUUAAGUCUUCAAUUUCGUCCAAACCUUGGUUCCAAAUAUGUGACAUGCAUUCCAAGCUCCAUUUUGCUCCAAAAUGCUCCAAAAUGCAUCUUCUUGCCUACUUUGUCCUUAAAAUCUGAAAACACACGAAAAUGACAUUAAACAUUAAAAUAACUAAGGAAACACGACAUAAAUGCACAAGAACAAGCUAACUAAGUCGCAUAAAUAUGCUCCUAUCAAAGGUGGCCAUGAAGAAAGGCAUUAUGAACAUCAAAUUGUUGGAGAGACCAUCCUUAACCAGCGGCAAGAGCAAGAAGGCAGCGAACUGUGAUCAUUUUGGCGGUGGGAGAGAAAGUGUCAUGAUAAUCAAUUCCCUCUUCUUGAGUGAAUCCUUUGGCCACUAAACGAGCUUUGUAGCGCUCGAUAGAACCGUCGGCAUGAUGCUUAAUUUUGUAGACCCACUUACAAUCAAUGGGACGCUUUCCGGGAGGAAGCGAAGUAAGAGUCCAGGUAUUGUUGGAAGUAAGUGCCUCAAGUUCUGAAUCCAUGGCCUUGCGCCAAUGAGGGUCUUGAAUAGCCUCCGCAAAAGAAGAAGGUUCUAUACUUCGACUAAUGUGAGCAACAAAAGAAAGAUGCAAUGGUGAAUAUCUGUGAUAGGAAAUAGAAUUACAAAUGGGAUAACGAGUACCUCUGGGGGAACCGGAUGACGAAGGCGACGAAGAUUGGAGUGGGGGCAGUAUCACCUGCGAGCAAACGUAGUCACGGAGACGGACAUUAGGCUCCUUGUGACGUGUGGAAACACGGGUGGGGUGAGCAUGAAUGGAGGGUCAGGGGUGGGGUCCGUGAUGGGGUGAGAGGGAGAAGGAUGGGAGGAUGGGUCAGGUGGUGGGGAUGAGUCAAAUGGUGGGUCAAGCGGUGCGGAAGUGGGGGGGACAAGAUCGAGUAGGGAAGGAAAAGGAGAUGGGGAAAAAGUGUCUGGGGUGUUGGAGUCAAGUGGGAUGGGUAAAGGUGUGGAAGAAGGUAAAUCGAGUAAGGUAGGAGAGAGUGCAGCGGUGGUAGAUGGGUCAAAAGGGAAUGUGUCUUCAAGGAAAGUAACAUCCCUAUUUGUGAAAAUUUUGUGUGUCUCAAGAUCAUAAAGUUUAUAAGCCUUUUGACCUGGGGGAUAACCAAGAAAAACGCAGCGAUGAGCCCUGGGAGAGAACUUGGAGGGAGGGUGGACAGAUGUGGCAUAUGCAAGACAACCGAAGACACGCAUAUGGGAAUAAGAAGGUGGCUUGGUGUAUAGUAUCUCAAAGGGCGAUUUUCUGGAAAGUAGUGGUGUAGGAAGACGGUUGAUGAGAUAAGUGGCGGUGAGAACACACUCCCCCCAAAAUUUAACUGGUAAAUGAGACUGGAAACGCAAAGCUCGGGCAGUUUCUAGGAUGUGGCAAUGCUUGCGUUCUACGACACCAUUUUGUUGGGGUGUGUAAACACAAGAGUGUUGAUAAAUGAUCCCAUUGUCAGAGAAGAAAUCCCGCAUGGAAUAAAAUUCUCCCCCAUUAUCGACUCUAAUUUGUUUGAUUUUGGUGUGAAAUUGAGUUUCAAUAUAAGCAAAGAAUGUUUUGAGGGUGGGUUGUGUUUCAUGUUUGUGUCGCAUUAAGAAAAUCCAGGUGAAACGAGAAAAUCAUCAACUAUAGUUAAGAAAUAGUGAGCACCAGUAAGGGAGGCAGUCUUAUGAGGACCCCAAAUGUCACAAUGCAAAAGUUCAAAAAAAUUAGAAGUUGAAAUAGAGCUACUACUAAAAGGUUGGCGAGUUUGUUUCGCCAACGGACAAACAUGGCAAUGAUGACUGGACUCAAAAUCGAAGUUUAAUGUGUUAUUUGCUAAAAAUUGUAGACGCCCAAGAGAAGGAUGCCCUAGACGGCGGUGCCAAAGAUCAGUAGAGAGGGUGAUGUGGUGACAGGAGGGUCGGGUGUGUAGAGAGGAAGUAGAAGCCAACGCCACAAGGUAAUAGAGAUUGCCCCGUCGCUUACCAACACCAAUCGUCACCUUCGAAAUCAGGUCCUGUAAAAUGCACCAAGAGGGAAAAAAGUCACUGAGCAAUGUAACCCAUCUGUAAUUUUUCCAACAGAUAACAAAUCAACUUGAAAAGAAUGCACGCAUAGAACAUCUUUCAAUUGUAGUAAAUCACUUAAUUGAAUGUUGCCAAUCGAAGUAAUAGAAGCCUUCUCUCCGCUAGGCAGUGAGACAGGCGGCAAAGAGGUAUUGGUAAUGGAAUUUGUCAAUAAAUGAGACGAGCAAGUGAUGUGAUCCGUGGCUCCACUGUUGAUGAUCCAUCGACCAGGAACAAGCGGAGACAAACCUGAGGGUGGUGGAGAAGUGAGAGCGGCAUGGGCUUGUGGUCCUUCAUUCGUAGCUUGAGGUUUGUUAUUCUUGGAGGUCAAGGCAGAAAAGAUGUCUGCAUAUUGUUUCUCGGACAGGUUGGGCAUAGCAGCAUGAAGGUCUUGGAUGGUGGGAGUAGAAGCAACGUGGUGAGUAGAAGAACCUCCACGAGAGAAGCCGCUGCCACCACCAGUUGGUUUGGAGUUGCGUGUCUUGUUAGAAUUGUGACGGGGAUGAUCCGGUGGAUAACCAUUUUUCUGCCAACAAGUCUCAAUGGUAUGAUACUUAGUAUCGCAGUAAGAGCAGUGAAGAGGAGGUCGACUGUUGCUGCUGGUCUGCGACUGUUGGUGCUGCUUCUUGGAUGAUUGUUGCUGAUGGCGAACUGCCAUGGCUGCUGGUUCAGUCAGGUUGCGGGAUCCAGCGCCUAACUCACGUUGUGGGAUCCCAUGAGGAACUGCAUAAGUCUAUCGGUUUCGUGUUAUGCUCCACAAGUGCAGAUUGUAGAAGAACGAUAGGAGGCCAACUCAUCCCAAAUGCCCUUCAAUUUGGUGUAAUAAACAGCCACAGAUUGUUGGCCUUGGGUGAGAGAGGCAAUCUCUCGUUGAAGUUGAAAAAUUCGUGGAGCAUUGCUCUGGGAAAAUCUUUCCCGAAGAUCUUCCCAAACUUCAGAGGCUGUCUUCAAGUAAAGAAUGGAGUCUGAAAUGUCAGAGUCAAUGGAAUUGAUAAUCCACGCAAGUAGCAUGUUAUUGCACCUCUGCCAUGCGGCGUAAGCAUCGGGUUGUUUGGUUUCAGAUGGCUCACCUUGCCAUUAAUAAAACCAAUUUUGUUCUUGGCACCUAAGGAGAUUUCCAUAGCUCGGCACCAAGUGUUGUAAUUGUCCCCGGUUAACUUUUUGGAGACUAGAAUCAAACCAGGAUGAUCUGAAGGAUGAAGAGAAUAAGGGUCGGCAAAGGUCUCGCCGUCGCCCUUCUUGAUAAUGGCGGUGUCGCUGUCACCCAUGGAAAAGGAUGGCAACGAAAAAAAGCUGGUAAUUUCGGCAGAGGAGAGAGCUAGGGUUUGUAACCUGCUCUGGAUACCAUGUGAAAACUGUAUUUGACCAGAAUGAUUUUCAUUGAUAGAAUGAUUAGUAUAAAUAAUACAAUAUCUUUCCUUGUACAACAAGAAAACCUAGAAUCUAGGAAUACAUCAAUAGAAAGUAUCAAUUACAAAUCAAUCAUAUAAUUCUUUCCUAUCUAAUUACAUUGACUUUCUAACAAAAUGCACUUUUCUAUUAUUGGCUUAAGUCUAUUCACUAUCAGCUUCGUUAUAAUUUUGUAUGUCACAUUACAUAAGCUAAUGGGUCUAAAGUUAUUUACUGUUUCUGGAUUUUCUACUUUAGGAAUGAGCACAAUAUUCGUAUGAUUAAUUAGUUUUAGGCUCGAACCAUUCAUAAGGAAGUCUUUGACUAACCUUAUGAUUGAAGGCCCAACAACAUCCCAACACUUCUGGUAAAACACAGCUUGAAAACCAUCCGUUCCCGGGGCCUUCAUCGCGCCAAUGCCAUUUACAACCUUCCAAAUUUCAUCAUCACUAACUGGAUCAAGCAAGGUCAAAUUCUGGUCCUCAGUAAUACAUGUAUCAAUUAUGCUAAUGAAAUUUGAAGUCAUGUUGUUAUUCAAAUUCGAAUGGCCAGUGAAACGCUGUUUAAAAUCCUACACAAAAAUCUGUUCCAUUCCUUCCCCUAUUAACCACCACAAACCCGCAGAGUCCUUAAUUUUUAAUACUUCGUUUCUUUUACGUAUAAUGUUCGUCAUUGUUUGAAAAAACUCGGUAUUCUUAUCUCCCAAUUGAAGCCAGUUAAAUCUCGCUUUUUGAGCCCAGAAGAUUUCCUCAUUACUAAGAGCUCUAUUUAACUCAUUCCUUAACCUUGCCUAUUCGGCUAGCAAUUGGACAUUAUUCGGAUCCUCCAUAUUAUGGGCUUGGAUUACUUUAAGCUCAUCUAAUAACACAAUACUCUCUCGUGUACAUUGCCAAAAACCUCCUUAUUCCAUCCUCUAAUCAAAGUUUUCAGGGCCCUAAGACAUCCCCUCAAUUUAUCGUUGGGGUUGCCCUCAACUUCCAGGCACCAAGCUCUUUUAACCACAUUACUAAAAUCUGGGUGGUUCAACCACAUAGCCAAGAAUUUAAAGUCCAUUUGCCCAACAAUAUUACAGUGAUUCUUAGGGUGGCAAUCUAACAGAAUAAGGAUGUGGUCCGAUCCAAAAAUUGGAUAAUUAUGGAGACUAGCUUUUGAACAUAAAUUCAACCACGCUGCAUUAACAAGGCCCUAUCUAGCUUCUAACCACAUUGUCAUAAGUCAUCCCAUCCCUUCUCACACCACUUCGACCCCUACCAGCAUACCUACUUUUCCUAGAAGCCACUGUUGUCCAACCUUCACUAACAUUCUUAUCAUAUGACCUAGCUUGGUCUCUCAACUCCAGCUCUUCCUCAUCCUUAGCGUUCACUUCUUCCCCCACCACUGGUUGGGGAAACACUAACAUAACCCCUCUAUGCAGCUCUUGUCUGGUUUAUUCAGAAAUUUCAGCUCCUGUUGGAUAAACUAAUGACUUAUCCUCAAAUAAUCUAUCCACCAACAGCCAUACAUGCUUAUCCUCAAGGGUAGGGCACUUAUGACCUUCUGAUCGCCGCCGCCCAUAAUAAAAGCACACUUCAAAUAGCUUUUCAUAGCUUAGCAAGACAGGGCAAUCUUCCUGAUCAUUAAUAACCAUCACCCUUUUUAGCGGCAGCCUCAAGUCCACCUCAAUCAACACUCUCACAAAUAGUCCAUUCAAACCCGACAAAGAAUUCUCAUUUGCCCUAAUAAAGGUUCCUACAGGUUGCAUAAUGACCUAUAGAAUUUCAGCAUCACGAUACUUCACCAGAAGUCUAGGGAUACGAACCCAGACUCUGAGAGUAGAGAUCGUCUCCACAUCUUGAAAAAAGGUGGUCCACUUCUCCAAAUGGAAAAUUUGGCCUCUUACAUACCAAGGUCUGUUAUCCAAAACAUACUAUAUCUCUUCUUAAUCAGUGAACUCCACAGCAUACCACUGGUGACCAAAGUGGUCAAGGUAAAAAGGGUUUUUUACUUCCGAUCCCUAAGUAAGCCCUAACUUCCACUUAAUAGUUCUAGCUUCAAUCUGUUUCCCCACUAAUUUCCCCAUGAGCACCCUAGUUUCCAUAUGCUCUACCUUGAGGUUCGAAUAGAGGCUAGUGGACACCCUGGUGACUCCACUUUCUAAGGUAAAGGGACCCUUAAAACCCUCUACCACCACAAGAGGCUGACCCGGAUGAGGAGAGGUGAACCUAUUAACCCAUGACGAGAGUUUGGGACUGGAUGGGAUCCUAGGGUGUCUUGAGAACGAGGCUUCAAGUUGGGAAAUGAUAGUUAUUUUGAUGCUGAAGGUUAAAGACUUAGGAUAUAGAAACAAAUGACUGGUAUGCAAGCUCUUGAGUUGCACUUCAUAUAUAAACAUCAAGAUAAGAACGAUACAUGCAUACACUUCUAAGGGAAUAGCAAACGUUAGAAAUAAAACAAGCAAGCAUGCAACACAGACUAUUGAUGCAUAAUAUAUAAGCACACAAAUUAAACCCUCUUUUUAUCAAUUGUAGUAAAGUAUGUAAGUAGGGUAUCGUUCUAGGCCGGGGAUUAGGAGGGAUUGCUAAUCUAUUCUAAAUUAAUUUAGAAUUAUUAAACAAGACUCAAGGACACAAAACUAGGCUAAAAACUCUAAUAACUCGAAACACACUUAGAAUGACUCAAAAUAAUGAAAACAGUCAAAUUAGACACUAGGAACUGAAAUGGACGGAAAUUGAAUUAAAAGACUAACAACAAUGAAAAGUAACUAAAUAAUAUAAUUUAAUAAUGGGGGGGUUGGUUUUGACGAGAAGUAAAUUAAAUUUAAAUAAAUUACAGAAUUGACAAAAGCAUGAAAUUAAGGUGAAAGGAUAGGUGACAGACUAGCUAGAGGGUUCUUCUCCACACAUGACACAUAUGCAACCUAAAUUGAUUUUCAGUUGUUCUUUCAAUAAAUUGUAAAUCUCAACGCCCCAAAUUAACCGUGAAUUGCACUAAUUAACCCUCAGUUUUUUCCACAAGUUAUUGGGUUGGAUGAUUGCAUACGACAACCCAAAACAUUCCCUACAAGUUCCCUACAUGAAUUGCAUAAUAGAGAUACAAGCAAGAAUCAUUAAGUUCUAUAAAAAAAACAUAAGCAUUGACGAGGCACUCGUUACUAUGAUUUGCAUGAAACUUAUGCCAAGAAUUUACUUAACGUGAUUGUGACUAGCAACCUUCACUACUUGUGAAUAUAAGUUCAUAACGAUUAGGUGAAACUCUCUUAUAUUCUAGCGUCAAAUUCAUGCAUGUAAAUUAAGUAUGCAUUCUUAAUCGACAUACAAAAAUAAGCUAUCAAUCAAGCAGUUAAGCAAAUUAAAUCACAACUCAGAAAAUCACAACUGAAGGUAAUCAAUUCAUAUUACAAAUAUAUUCAUGGCUUUGAAUUAACCUCUAGCCAAAAUAAAUUUAGUUACACAUUAUUAAAAAAUUAAACCAAUAGUAAAAUAUCAGUUUGAAAAGAUUUAACCGAGAGAGAAGGCAGCUGUGUUGCUUCUGUGCUGGCGCUCAUGUAAGGCAGCUUUGCUGCUUCCUUUUCUUUACCCCGCACGCUGCCAAGCUGCAGCUUUCUGAUCUCUCGCUGCACAAGGCAGCAAAGCAAGCUUUUUUUUCUCCCCAGCUACCCACGGCCUGCUCUCUUCUCCCUCUGGAUCACGCUGCACAAGCGGCCUUUUUAUUCUUUUUAUUUUCUGCUCUCCAGUCCGUGUCCCACUUCUCUUCCGUCCAUUAGCUUCACCAACCCUAUUCCAUUCACAACAUGAAUCAUGAUGAUGUUUCAAACAUCAUUAUGACUUAUCAUUAUUAUUUUUUUUUCUUUUUAAUUUAAUUUAAAAGCUGAUCUACACAGACAGUUUUGACGAAUUUAUUACAUAAAAUUUCACUUGUUCUAUUUUUAUUUUCUUUGCAUAACAAAUCCUAUAAACACAAAAAAUAACGUAAAUAGCUCAAAAAUAUAAGGAACUAACUAAGAAAAGACGAGUGAAUUCGAAGUAAAAAUAUAUAUAAAUAUGAUCCGAUCAAAUACCCCCACACUUAACUUUUGCUAGUCCUCGAGCAAAACAAAGAAAACAAGAACAAGAAGUAACAAGAAAAACAUUAGCUUCCCCCUAUGUGACCCUCAUAGAAUUUCAUUCGAGAACACAAAUCAACAAGAACCAUAGCUAGCAUCAAGGAACUAAUCCAAGUUCAUCUUCCUUAAUCAAAUAUUAGCAGUAAUCUUUGAAUCAUCCUUGAAGUGUAGUGUGUGAGAUAGCCAUGCUAAAACAAUUUCAAAAUUUUUAUAUUUUUAAAAUCACCAUAUGCAAACUAGCAACCUUCUCACGGGAUAUACACUCAAUCACACAUGUGUUUAGUUUUAAUGUGUUUCGCUCAAAAAAUCAAAUGUGAAAUUUCUACCAUAAGCUUGCAUAAAGAUCACUUCUCCACAGUCAUAAUUGCAAAACUUAAAUCAAGAGGACUUUUAUUGGAUGUAAUGAGGUUUAGGGAUAGGGUUAUUGAAACGAUAGAAUAGGAAAACACAAGUUCCAAGCUACAUUGCAAGCAAUUCUUUUCUUUAGAUUUAUAAGAACUCAAGCUCUCCAGCAAUUCUUCUAGCACCUCCAACCACAACCUUAAACUGAAACUUUUAAAAACUUUUUAUUUCAUUUGUAUACAAUCUUUCUUUUUCUUUUUCUUUUCUUCUCUUUCUCUUUUUUUUUUUUAAAUACAAACAUGAAAAUACCCCCACACUUAUUCUUUUGCCAAACACCUUCAAAGUACUUCACAAAUGUUUCUCAUAAGACAAUCUCGCAUUGCUCGCUUGGAAAGGGUAAGGGAAAAUGUUUCAGGUAUAAGGGUAGACAUAUCUGGUGAUAAGAAAUAAAAGGCUCAACAUACACGGCUCAAAUUGGCAAUCUAAUGAUAUCAUUUUUCUUUUGGGAAACAUGGUUAUUUGGGCCAUAGUGGUAAACCUAAUGCCUCUAUCAUUUCCAAAUUCAUGCAAUCAAUGACAAACAUUUCGAAAGAUCGUUACGCAAGUUCUAGAGAUGUAUCUCACAUAAGUUCAUCACACAUGAAAAAAAAAAAUAGGAGUGUAUGAAAAAUGCACACACUUUCAAUAGGCUCAAAAACUCACAUAGGAUGUAUAUGGUCACUAAAUUCACAUAUGAAGCUUUAAGUCAUACUUUAGUUUCACAUUAACAAGGCUAUGUGCAUUUGGUUUUUCAAAGAUGGUCAAACAUGUACAAAACUAACAAGAGAAUUAGGAAUUUCACAAAACGCAUGUUAACUAAGUUCUUGAUAAUCAUGAUUCAAAUUUGAUCCAAUUAUAUCAUUGGGUCGGGAAACUAACAAAAAUCUAAUUCAUAACAAUAAGGGAAACAAGACAAUAUUUUUGGAUUUUUUAAAUUUUCCGAUUUUUUAAAAUUUUUUUUUAAAAGAAAACAAAACUAAUUAAGAAAACAAAAAGCAACAACAUGGAAACAAAUGAAACCUGUUCGUAGUUGAAGGUACAAAAAA